GGAUGAUAACCCGAAGAUCCAUGAGAGAGAAUUUGGCUUUUCUCUAAUUGGAAUUCAACUAAUGAACCAUUUUGGUUCAGAAUUCUAUUUAUAGUCCUGAUAUUUUUGGCAGAAAAUAUUUCUAUUCUCGGAAUGAAGUCUAAUGUCCUAGAGAAAUGGAAUAACAAUGUUGCACAAAACCCUAGUGCAACCACUCUCCUAAUAUCAUCUUAAGUGUAAAUCCUGAAAACUGCCUAACUUACACUCGGAGACUGAAUUUUCACGGUAACUGAUCUACAUCUAUUGACUUGAUAUGGUUUGUUCAGAAUGGAAAUUGCGGGUUGUCACACUUGACUUGAUCAACCUUAUGACCUUUCAGGUGAAUAGGGCAGCUUCGCAACCAAUGCCACUUCCUUUGGCAACAAAACAUAUAGACCCUUUGGUAAUGGUACAUGAGAAAUGCUUUUCUAGAUUUCUAAUGCUACCUUUCCAUUGGGAAGAGAAAUGCUUUUCUAGAUAUCCAAUGCUACCAUUAUCAAUGUCCAUUUAAGACUUGGGAAGUUGUUCUUUUAAUCAAAUUUGCUUUACUAGUGUUCCAAAUCAUUGCUGAUUCCACAACACCAAGCAAAUAGAUAACAUCAUUAAGGGUCAUGUCAUAGUCUGUCUCAUAGUAGUCCCAAAGAGAGUCACUAUGCUACUAAGAAAGUGACUUAACAUCCAACUUUCACAAGACUUUGACACCCAACUCUCCCGGCUUGUCAAUAUGUGACUUUAUCUCCAAGAUGUGAGCACACAUAGACUAUGCUUGCCAAUAGGGAUUGAGUGACUUUAAACUUUUGAAGAACUUGUGGGUGAGGGAGAAUGUGGAGGAAGUGAAGCAUGAUGUUGAGGGACACCAUCUUCAAGAGAUUUGGGAAGAUCAUAGUUGUCUGAACUAGACAUCUAUAAUGGGAGAAAAUCAAGUUAGUUGAUUCAAAGUCCUUAAUAUAACACCCAAUAUGAAAUAUUAAGGCUAGGACCCAACACAGUAUUUUCUAAUUUGGAAGAGGGAUGCUGUAAUCCAAGCUAUAAAAUAUUUGAAGGUAGGCGAAUGACGAUUCAUCAAUUUCAACCAUGAAAAACGAAAUAAAUUAUUAUGUUUUAAUUGGAUUUGAAAUUCCUAGAUCUUUUGAGAUUCAUUGAACUUUUCAAUGGCAUGUUUCAAUAUCGAGUGUGCCCUCUCAAAUUUUGUGACUGGGAUGCCGAGGAUCACAAAACAAGGUGUGAAUAACCAUACCAAUUCACUUGGUACCCUUAAUAUUAUCACCUAAUCAAUGUGCCGGUUAACCACACACGCUCCAUUGAUCUAUGACAAACAUUAAGUCACCCUUCGUGAUCCUUACUAGUCCAAGUUAGUGUGCCGGUUAACCACACACGCUCCACCAACGACUUGGUAAGGUACAAAGUGUGAAUUCCAUGGGCUAGCACCAAAUUCACAUUUUUCCUAAAGUAACUAAGAUUGGGAAUUAAAUAAAAAAUAUUUAGUUACUUUAUAAUAUUCAUUAUACUUUUAAUGAGAAUUUAAAGUCAUUGUCCUACCCGUUCGGCUAACGACCCUCCACCGGUCAAGCAAGCGGUGGGUGAGAGUGGACACCCAUUAAGUCGCCAUUUUAUAGGCAACAACCUUAUACCCACCUUAUAGACCGGCUUCGUGAAUGAGGCCUACUAACGGUAGAACGACUUAUUCUUAUACAUAUAUAUAAUAAUUAACCAUUAAUGUUAUAAAUAGUAUAAGGGUUGAAUUUUAACUAUUAAAACUCUAAGGGUUGGAAUUAAAGUUUAUUAAAGUGUGUGAAACUUUACAAAUUCCAAAACUUGAGGGCAAGUUUUGUAACUAUCCAAAACUUUUCAUUUCAUAACUUAUGAAUUAAAGGUUCAUAAAAAUGAAGACUCUUCAUUUUCAUGUAACUUAUGUGUUUUAAGUGUGUGUUAAAGGAAAGUGACCUUUGGAUAUCCAUAACUUGAGGACAAAUUAUGGACUCCAUUAAAACACAUAAAUGAUCAAGAAUUAAUUCUAAACAAUUCAGCAAAUAAUUCCUAUCAUCUUCUAAAUUCAUAAGAACAUGAACAUGAUCAUCAAAAUUUCAAGAAUUAUAUGAACACAUAAAAAUCAUGGAAUUUUGAUAUAUGCUAUUGUAAAUGGAUUAGAACAACCAUUACACCAACUAAAACAAGUUUUAAAACACCAAAACAGUUUAGGGUAAUGUUUCUAGUCCAUUUCCAGCAGCAAAAGUCGAAAUUCUGCAUUCUGAUCAUUCUACUCGCCGAGUGCACGAACCUACUCGCCGAGUAGGAUGAAUUUUGCCUUGAACUCGGCGAGUCCCCCCAUGGACUCGGCGAGUCCAUCAGCCAGACAGCAACAAUUUCAACUUUUUUCACUAUUUUGCAUCAAGUAUCAAACAAGCAAGCCUAGGCUCUGAUACCACUGUUGGGUUUUGAGCAAUCUAACACUUCCUAAGUGUGCAUGCAACCCUAAUAAACCUUGGAUCUAUGUUUGUCUAAAUACAUGCAAAAUAAUAAUUUUCCAAGGUUCAUAACCUAUCUAACAUGGCAUGAGAUUACAUACCUUUUGAUGAUGAGUUUAGUUCCUAAGGAGUUUGAGGGCCAAGCACCAAUAGUGUGAAUGCCUCAAAUGGAAUCACAAAUCACCACAAACUCUUGGAAAACUUUGAGAGAGUGUACACACACUAUAAAAUCCGCCACACACAAAAUCUCACACAACUAGUGCCACUAGUGGCUAUUUCAUGCAACAUAAGCAUGCUUAUAUAGUGUACAUGAUUAGGGUGAAACCCUAAUAACCCAUGACCUUUCCUUUUCCAAGGAUCCAUGGGUUAAAAGCUCCAUGGAUCAUCCAUGGACUUCCAUACAAGCCUAGCCCAUUAACAAAAGAGUGUUUGCCCACACUAUAUAAAACCAAUAGCCCACAAUCUAAUUAGUCUUCCUUUUAAUCUCUAAAUUAAUUCAUAAUUAAUUUAAGACUAAGACUAAUUAAAUAACAUGACUUCAUAUUACUAUAUUAUAACUUAUAAUAUAUUAAUAAUCAUAUGUGUAUAACUCUCAUAAAAUUAUCCAUAAAAAGUUCGGAUGAAAUGCAACCCAAAUGGACCAUGCCGGGUCGGGACAAGUAUAUACCAAAUAAGUUAUGGACUUAGACACCUUAUCCAACAGUUCCCACGGUCUUAACAGUGGCUGAAACAGGUCUAAUCCAUCUGGGUAAAUCGGUAACUCAAUCUGUGGAUUUUCCACACCCUCACUGCUACACAGAAAUUGGUAGGUGCUAUAGUUCUUUUCGCGAUCUAACAACACUCCCAUGGUCUAUACCAACCUAGUGAAUGCUACGGUUACCCCCACAGUCUUACAAAACCCUAGCACUAUCUGCCAACCUUGUAAACGCUAUGGCUACACUCGCAGUCUUAAAACACUCUAUCACUAUCUUCCAAUCUUGGGAAUGCUCCAGAUACACCCAAAGUCUUAUAACACUUUAGCACUAUCUGCCCACUUAAUGAAUGCUACGGCUACACCUGUAGUCUUACAACACUCUAUCACUAUCUGCCAACCUUUUGAAUGCCACCACCAAUCCAACUAUACCCAUCCUGAAUCGAACAUGCACUAGACAAUGCUCCCAAUCAGGUUAUUGGGUUAGGUUUUGAACCCCAAAGCCUUUAUCAGAAAAGAACAGGACCCGAGGCUCUGACACAACCCCGACCUGAAUCCAUCUACAAAAUUGUUAUGCCUAACACGAAUGCGUCGACCAGCUGCUGGAAGUUUCUUGAUCUCCCACUUAAACAACCGCAACCCUAACGACCACUUGGGUCGUCUCUCUUCUUGACCAGGAUAUAACACUUAUCCUAGUUCCCCUUCAGAUCCAAUUACCAAAAUUUUUGAUCGGUUCUCCCCUACUUGGGUUAGAUGAAGUUCUCUUUCUUUUUUCAUCCUAUCAAUCCAAUGGAUCCCCGACCCAAAAAUUCCUCAUAUAUCAUGAACCACCCAUGACUCGCGCUUACAAAUACUAGUAUUCCACUACUAGCCAAUCUCAAUGAUCACCCAACUCCUGUAAUCCUAAGAAAUACCCUUUAAGUCUUAACUUGCCCGAUAAACCAAAUCACCUCCUACAAUACUACACCAAUUCCUUAUGCUCUUAUGCUGGUGCUUAUUGGAAACUGAAAGUGAAUCUCUAGCAAUCUAAAAUCUAUUUGCCAAAUCCGAAGUCAAGCUUGUUCCGAAAUGAAGUGUACUCCAAAAUUCUUUUGUGUCUGGAUCUAAAGUCAAGGUCAUGAAGUGAAGAUUGAGUGAAGGCAUUCCAGAAUGGAUGUUUAUGUCCGGAAUGUGUCACACCCCCAAACCGGAACGGCGGAAACGUUCGGAGGUGGAUGACUUCAUGUGGUAACGUAACAAUUGAAUACAUAGUAAAGAAAGAAAUACAACCAUCAUAUAUAUAAUUGAAAGUUUACAUUGUUAAAAGGUACAUGUUCAAAACCAAUUACAAUAUGAUGCUAAAAUAUGAAUUUAAACUGGCGCCGCAGCGUCCCUUCUUCAAAAGCUAUUUGUUACCUGUAAUUACUGAAUCCCUGGGACAUACAAGUAGUUUUGAAAAAGUAGAUCAACAUUUAAGCUGGUGAGUUUCAUAAGUAUUAAAUGACAACGUUUGUAUGAAAUGAAAUGUUUUGUUUUUUGUUUGUUUGUUCCUAGAAAAUCCCAUAUUUUCUACUAGCAUAAAUGUAGCCUUCUAUCAAGACCAAUGUUUGUUUCUAGAAAAUGUAUGUACGUACAAAAUUGCCAAUACGUCUGAGAAACCCUAUAAAUCAAUGUCUUUUUAAUACCCCAUGUGAGUUUUAUAACCAUGCUAUUGACUAGAAAUGCGUAUACACAACGUUCUUCAGGCGUUGGAAUGUUCUGACGUUUGUCACCCCAAAUGGUGUACUGUAGCUAACAGUCAGGGCGCGGGGUUGUCAAGCCCAUAUAGAUCUAUACACAAACACCAUGCUCCCCCUCCAAGGGAUUCUGGUAUAUAAUACAGGACUUGAAAUGUGUACUCGAACGUACGUAAAGUUAAUGUCUCACAAAACUUAGUAUAAAAACAGAUUUACGUGUAAAAAUGUUCGUUUGUUCUUGUAUGUGAAAGUGACUUCUUGAAAAUAGUGUUUCUAGUAUGUAAAAGUUCGUAAUGUUCUCGUAAAACUAUACCUAUUAUAGUUUUCUAAAAGUGUGUCUCGUUUGUAUAGUAAUCCCUAGUGAAAUGCUCACUUGCUAUGAAAAGUAUAAUUUUUGUAGUGCCUAAGAUGGACACAUAUACAUACAGUAUAAGCAGAGUGUUUGAUUGAUACAUAUAUAACAACAUUUUUCAUUUCAAAAGAUAUGAUGUUAUCGUGAUAUAUUUUGCAUACGAAAGUUUCCCUAUAAUAGUUAUAAAUCACAUAUGAUUCCGUUGAUAAAAAGUGUAUAAUGAAACUUUAUAUAACACACGAUAAUAAUCGUGUGUUUUACUUAUAUUUCCCCCCUUAAAAGCAUAUAAAAGCAUUUAUAAAACAUUUAAAAGUGUGGAUUAUAAGGGUAUGAACUCACUUGAAAGAUCGGAAAAGGCGAGAUGAAAACCGAGCAGAAUUUCGACUCGAGAAAGCGGAUUUUCUCGGGAUUCUCGGGAAUCUCGGGAGCACAAACGACCUUCGGGACUUGAGCAAGGAAACCGGGGCUUCGGGAUAGUACGUGCACGGAAAACGAGGCAAAAACGUAAGAAAGAUGAGAGGAAUUGGCCCUUUUCUUCGGAACCCUCGCAUCCCUUUUAUAGGGGGUGGGAACCGCCUCAAUACGUUGGGCGUACGCAUGCGUCAUGCGUGACCGCUUCCUCGACUGCCUCGGACCUUCGGAUGGGACGAGGCACAGCCUCACAUAGGGGCGACGUGGACGAUCCGAGGCCUAGGCCUCGAGUACGCUGGGCGUAACUCGGAUCGGCCUGGUGACUCCUCCUUCGGAUAAUACCAUGAUUAAAUAAUAAAAUUUAUAUUUUAUUUAUUUAAUAAACUUCAAAAAUUCAUAUCUUCUUCAUACGAACUCCGUUUUUGACGUUCUUUAUUUCCACGCAUAGGUGAGACUACGCUCUACAACUUUCGGUUAGAUUCCGUCGGCAAUUUUGAAAUUAUUUUUAUUAUUUAUUUUUAAAAGGUCGCGGUAAGAAAAUUUCGUUAGAAAUUCAUAACUUCAUUAUCUUACGUCUGUUUUUGCCAGACUUUUUACCGUUGCAAAACCAUUGUCGAGACCUUCAAUUCUCAUUUGGGUCAUUCCGGCCAAAAGUCGCUCGAUCUCCGUUUCGAGUUUUUAGUUGUCUGUCGCUAUGCCGAACUUGGAAAAAUCAUAACUUCUUUAUACGAAGUCAGAUUUGGGCGUUCUUUUUACGUACGAUCACGGUUUAAUGUCAUCUAACAUAGUAGGUAAUUAAUUUGGGAUUUUUGGACAUUUUAUUUUCGAAGUUAAUUUCAUUAUAUCGAAAGUGGUUACAAUAGUUGACUUUUUAGGUCAUUAGAAAGAGUUGAAAUAUCGGGUUGUCACAUCAUCCCCCCGUUAGAGGGAAUUCGUCCUGAAAUUUAAAGUAAGCAAGAUACUUGUGAAUCAGAGAAAAAGAUGAGGGUACUUUUGUUUCAUCUGAUCUUUGCGUUCCCAUGUGAAUUCAGGUCCUCGCUUGGUGUUCCAGCGAACCUUCACGAUGGGUAUGCGACAUUUUUUUCGUUUGUUUGACCUCUCGGUACAAGAUUUUUACCGGUUCUUCCACAAUAUUGAGGCUCUCGUUGAUCUCAAUCUCGUCGAGUGGAAUAACAAGAGUCUUAUCGGACAGGGCCGAUUCUGGCGAGAAUCUCGAAAGGCACUAUGUAUCUUGGAUUUAGCUUUCCACGCUUUCCAAAGCGUAUUAAGCCCUUCCACGGUGAGACCUUCAAUAGAACGCGGUGUUCUACCUGGAAUUCCAAACGUUUCCUCCUUUGGUUAGCGUUGUUUUUCUGGUGGUCUCUAUAGGCUUUCAAUCGUUCAUGAAUCUGAACGAUCUUCUCUGUUGUUUCCCAUAUGAUUUUCGGACCGGUGAGAGUGCUUUCAGGAACUCGUCCUUUAGCUAACUGUGUGUCUCCAACUUCAGCCCAACACAGAGGGGACCUGCACUUACGACCAUAGAGGCCUUCAAAUGUAGCAGCCUUUAUGCUCGUAUGAUAACUAUUGUUGUAUGAAAAUUCGACAAGGGCUAAAUGGAUAUCCCAUGCCUUUCCAAAGUCAAUCACACAGGAUCUCAUCAUAUCUUCCAAAGUUUGUAUCGUUCUCUCACUUUGCCCGUCUGUUUGUGGAUGGUAGGCUGUACUUAUGUCUAACCUAGUCCCCAGGGAAUUUUGUAGUGACUGCCAGAACCUUGAAGUGAAUCUACUAUCUCUAUCAGAGAUAAUGGAUAUCGUAACACCAUGCAGUCGCACUAUUUCCCUUAUGUAAGUUCUUGUAAGCCUUUCCAUCUUGUCAGUCUCCUUGAUUGGUAGGAAAUGCGCGGAUUUGGUCAACCUGUCGACGAUGACCCAUAUGGUAUCGAGUCCACCCGUCGUCUUGAGCAACUUGGUUAUGAAGUCCAUAGUAAUCCGUUCUCAUUUCCAUUCCGGUAUCUCCGGUUGUUGUAGUAAUCCUGAAGGUUUCUGAUACUCGACGUUAACCUUAGCGCAAGUAAGACAUUUACUUAUGAAGGUAGCAAUUUCUGCUUUCAUGUUAGGCCACCAGUACAGUUUCUUAAGAUCCAGAUACAUUUUAUCUGAACCUGGGUGAAUGGAAUAUCUCGUGUUGUGUGCUUCGGCCAUGACUACGUCUCUGAAACCACCAUGUUUCGGUGUCCAGAUAUGGUCCAUGAGAUAAUAUGCUCCGCCACCCUUGAUUUCUAGAUUCUUUUCCAUUCCUCUCAGGGAUUCACCCCCCACAUUUUGUGUGGAUAAGCGGGAAUGGAUAAUCAUAGUCAGAGAUUUGACUCUCCGACCAAUGUAUUCUUUUCGACUGAGGGCGUCAACUACCACAUUGGCCUUGCCAGGAUGAUAACGAAUUUCACAUUCGUAGUUAUUGAGUAGCUCAACCCAUGAUCGUUGUCGCAUGUUGAGCUCCUUAUGAUCAAAAAUGUGUUGAAGGCUCUUGUGGUCGGUGAAGAUAGUACUCUUUGUUCCGUACAGGUAGUGUCUCCAGAUCUUCAGAGCAAAUACCACUGCUCCUAACUCAAGAUUGUGUGUUGUAUAGUUUACUUCGUGUAUCUUAAGCUGACGGGAGGCAUAAGCAAUAAAUUUCCCUCUUUUCAUAAGAACACAACCAAGUCCUUGGUUUGAUGCAUCGCAAUACACUACGAAAUCUUCUAUCCCUUCGGGGAGGGAUAGUAUCGGUGCGGUGCACAAAGCCUGUUUCAGUGUUUGGAACGCCUUCUCUUGUUUUACUUCCCAGUCAAAAGCCACGCCUUUCUGGGUCAAUGUAGUAAGAGGUUUCGCAAUGCUAGAGAAGUUCUAUAUGAACCUGCGAUAAUAGCCAGCGAAACUUAGAAAUUGACGAAUCUCUGUAGGUGUCUUUGGUGCUGACCAGUUUUCAAUGGCCUUAAUUUUGGAGGGGUCCAUGUUUAUCCCCUUCUCGCUAACAACGUGGCCCAAAAAUUUGACUCUUUGAAUCCAAAAUUCGCAUUUAGAGAACUUCGCAUAGAGCUUCUCUAAUCGUAAUGUUUCUAAGACUUUUCGUAGGUGCUAACUAUGCUCUUCCUUACUUUAGGAGUAGAUAAGUAUAUCAUCGAUGAAGACGAUGACGAACUGAUCCAAGUAAGGACGGCACACCCUAUUCAUUAGGUCCAUGAAUAUUGUUGGUGUGUUGGUUAAUCCAAACGGCAUUACUACAAAUUCGUAGUGUCCAUAACAGGUUCGAAAGGCCGUCUUGGGAAUAUCCUCCUCUAGUACUCGUAAUUGGUGAUAUCCGGAUCGUAGAUCUAUCUUCGAGAAGUAGUUUGCUCCUUGAAGUUGAUCAAAUAGGUCGUCAAUGCGGGGCAGAGGAUAACGAUUUUUGACAGUAAGUUUGUUCAUUUGUCUGUAGUCAAUGCACAUACGGAACGAUCCGUCUUUCUUCUUUACAAACAAGACCGGUGCUCCCCAAGGUGAGAAACUUGGUCUAAUGAAUCCUUUUUGAUGGAGUUCGUUAAGCUGACUGGACAGUUCUUGCAGCUCUGCUGGUGCCAGAUGGUAAGGCGAUUUUGCUACAGGGGUAGCACCUAUAACUAAGUGUUGAAUUAAUGUCUAAGUCCAUAACUAUAAUUGGUAAGACUUGACCCGACCCGGCAUGGUCCAUUUGGGUUGCAUGGCAUCAUGCACCUGGAUAGACUAUAAUGAGAGAAAUAAGACACUUAUUGUUAUUAAUAUAUUAUAAGUUCUAGUAUAUUAAUAAUAAGAAUAAUAUGAUUAUUUAAUUAGUAUUGAUCAAGAAUUAAUCUAGGAUUAAUUAAGUGAUCAAAAGAAGACUAAUUAAAUAUAUGGGUUGAUUGUGUAAAUCAUCCAUACUUGUAUAGUGGGCUAAUGCUCCAUGGAUAAUCAAGUUGGGCUAAAACCCAUAGGAUGGUCCAUGGAUGCUCCAUGGUGUAUUUGAACCCAUGGAUCCAAGGAAAUGGAAAGUCAUGACAAUUAGGGUUUACCCUAAUUGUAACACUAUAUAAAGAUCUUAUUCUUGACAAAAUCGGCCACUAGUAUCAUUCUAGAGAGGGCUAGCCGAUUUUCAUGAAGUGUAGAAUUCUCUCAAGUUAUUCCAAGUGUAUUUGGUGUUGUGUGAACCAUUUGAGGUGUCACACUUGGGGCACUUGGCACUCAAGCUUCAUGAAGACUUUCUACAUGAAAGAGGUAUGUAUUCUAUCUUGUUAUAUUCAUUAUUUUAUAUGCUAGAUUAGGAUAACACCUUGGGUGUUCAUAUUUGUAUGUAUAAUAGAGAAAACAUAGAUCCAAGGUAUUUAGGGUUGCAUGUACACCUAGGAGUGUUAGAAUGUUCAAAACCCAACAGUGGUAUAAGAGCCAGGUUUGUUUUCUUGUUAUACUUGCAAACGGAGCUGAAAAAUCGAGUUUUUAUGCUGUCUGCCCAGCAGACACGCCGCGUCCAAGGCAAAAAGCAUCCAACUCGCCGAUUUGGUUCGUGCACUNNNNNNNNNNNNNNNNNNNNNNNNNNNNNNNNNNNNNNNNNNNNNNNNNNNNNNNNNNNNNNNNNNNNNNNNNNNNNNNNNNNNNNNNNNNNNNNNNNNNNNNNNNNNNNNNNNNNNNNNNNNNNNNNNNNNNNNNNNNNNNNNNNNNNNNNNNNNNNNNNNNNNNNNNNNNNNNNNNNNNNNNNNNNNNNNNNNNNNNNNNNNNNNNNNNNNNNNNNNNNNNNNNNNNNNNNNNNNNNNNNNNNNNNNNNNNNNNNNNNNNNNNNNNNNNNNNNNNNNNNNNNNNNNNNNNNNNNNNNNNNNNNNNNNNNNNNNNNNNNNNNNNNNNNNNNNNNNNNNNNNNNNNNNNNNNNNNNNNNNNNNNNNNNNNNNNNNNNNNNNNNNNNNNNNNNNNNNNNNNNNNNNNNNNNNNNNNNNNNNNNNNNNNNNNNNNNNNNNNNNNNNNNNNNNNNNNNNNNNNNNNNNNNNNNNNNNNNNNNNNNNNNNNNNNNNNNNNNNNNNNNNNNNNNNNNNNNNNNNNNNNNNNNNNNNNNNNNNNNNNNNNNNNNNNNNNNNNNNNNNNNNNNNNNNNNNNNNNNNNNNNNNNNNNNNNNNNNNNNNNNNNNNNNNNNNNNNNNNNNNNNNNNNNNNNNNNNNNNNNNNNNNNNNNNNNNNNNNNNNNNNNNNNNNNNNNNNNNNNNNNNNNNNNNNNNNNNNNNNNNNNNNNNNNNNNNNNNNNNNNNNNNNNNNNNNNNNNNNNNNNNNNNNNNNNNNNNNNNNNNNNNNNNNNNNNNNNNNNNNNNNNNNNNNNNNNNNNNNNNNNNNNNNNNNNNNNNNNNNNNNNNNNNNNNNNNNNNNNNNNNNNNNNNNNNNNNNNNNNNNNNNNNNNNNNNNNNNNNNNNNNNNNNNNNNNNNNNNNNNNNNNNNNNNNNNNNNNNNNNNNNNNNNNNNNNNNNNNNNNNNNNNNNNNNNNNNNNNNNNNNNNNNNNNNNNNNNNNNNNNNNNNNNNNNNNNNNNNNNNAACCGAUAAAAUAAGUUACAAACAUAAUUUAUAACUAUAUAAGAGCUAUAGUAACAUAAGAUAAUUUGAAGUCUCAAAGAUUCUAUUUAUUUUGAUAUCCAAAGAUUUACAAACUCUCAAAAACCCUAAAAGCCAUAAAAUCUCAAAUUUAUAAACUUUAACACCUACCAGUCCAUAAAAUUUGUUAUGAACCUCAUAAUUUCAAUUGAAAAUGACUAAAUUCAGGAAAAUAUACUCAAGAAACAAAAAAAAAGUUAAGUCAUAAACAAUUACCCAUAAUUUAUAAGUCAAAAAUCAAGGUUUCAUGAACAAAAUCUUGGUUUGGGUGUAUAUUUUAUAAAAAGUUUGAAAGUUUUAUAAAAUAAUUGAAAUUUUUACAAACUUAAAAGAGAGGUAGGGCAUUAUACCCUCAAUAGUCGGCCACCCUCUCUCAUCCUUCAAUAUUUUCCUUCCUAAAACAUUUACACAAACCAUACACUCCAUAUCCCUCAUUCUCUCUAAUUUUUACAACACCUCCACUUCAUUUUUUCUCUAUUCUCUCUUCCUCUCUCCUUCAACCAUGAAUUUUAUUCUAGAAAAUGAGUCUAGGAACUCACCUUGAACUCUAAAUCUUCAUCAUCUUGUGCUCUUCUUGAAGGUAAACUUGAUUUCUACUUCAUUAUUCCUUCAAAAUCUAAAGUUUUCUUACGUUUCUUCUUCUUCUACACCAUUCUAUGGAUGCAUUAUGAAUCAUAUGUUCAUAACCACAAUUUUUAUGAUGUUGGAGGUAGUAUUUCACCCAAAAACCAACAUGCAUGUGAUGAUCUUCAAGCUUAGACGCUUGAUUAUUAAAGUUUGUUGUUAAUAGCUUUCAAAUAGGUUCAUAGGGGAUUUAUUCCAAAAUAAAUAUAUGAAAUUUCUUUUCUGAUCAAAUCCGAUUCUUCCAAGAAUUCCACCAACAAAAUGAGAUGCUCUACAAAUUUUCAGAAAAUAAUUCAUUUUUCUCGAAUUAUUAUAAUUAUUGCAAGAAAAUAGGGCAAUAAUUCAUAUAAAAUACUUUAUGAGGUCUAUAAAUCCUAAGUAAUUUCAUAGACGACCCUAAGGUACAUGAUGACAUUUCAGCGAGUUUCAUCGAUUUUUGUUUCUGUUUGGUAUGGUUUUGAAUUUUUUUUAAUACAAAUAAAUCAUAAAACAUCUUUAAGUAUGUGAAAAGGCUAUAUAUGAUUUUUUUUUACAGAUCCUACUUAAUGUGGAGUACUCAGAAAUAUAUUUUCAGAAUUUUUCAUAAUGCAUUCCUAUUUUUCAUCGAUUUUUGUAUUUAUAAUGGACUAAUAAUGGGAAAAACAUUUAUACUCAUCCAAAAUUCAUGAACAUUUACCAUAAGACCUUAUAAUAUAUUAGAACUUUAAAUAAAAAUUUGGAUGGUUUUUCUAUUCAGCAUGCUAUUUUUCUUCUAUUUUCUAAGAUUAAAUACACUUAAAUUCACAAAAUCGGAUUCCCGUAGAUUAAAACCACCUUUGGUAUUUUUCCCAGAUUAAGUACACUAUAAAUGAAAUUUACAAAAAUUUUAGUAAUUUACUUUAACUAUUUAAUAAUUAUUCUCCAAUUAAUGAUUAUUUAAGAGGAUAAAACUAAGGAAAAUAGCAACACUAAUUGAAAAAUAUAUUUUAUAUUUUCCACAGCUUCUAUAUGUAUAUUAACAGUGUUACAAAAAGUUUGGGCAAUUUGGAAACUGGUAUCUGUUUAUUUCAAUUUUUAUUUGAAUAAAUGCAUAGAAAUAAUAGAAUUUAGAUAAACAGUCUAGAAAUCCAUUUUUAUAUUUUUCCUAGCUUAAUAAUGUUUAAUAACAUUAAUAAAAAAUGUUUGGGCAAUUUUGGAAACUGUUAUCUAUUUAUUUCAGUUUUUAUUCGAAUAAAUGCACAAAAAUCAUAAAAUUGGGUUAAACAGUUUAGAAAUCCAUUUUUAUAUUUUUCCAGCUUAAUUAUGUGCAAUGGCAGUAUUGUAAAACGUUUGGGAAUUUUUAUCGUCUGGAUACUAUUUUUCACAAAUUUAUAUUGUUAUGAAGUCUUAAAAAUUGGGAAAAAUAGUUAGUCACAUCAAAAAUUCAAGGGAUAAUUUUUGGAAGACCUCUACUGUGUUUAGAAUGAAAAUGCAAAAUUUGAGAAUUUUUGGAAACUGCUUGAUAAUACUUUGGUUUUUUUAGAGCUUAAAACACCUUUAAAUGUGUUGAAAUACCCUCAAUUAAUAUUACAAAAAUCUGGAAAUUAAUAUCCAAAAUUUUCUUAAUCACAUGAGUUAUAAAAUUUCACCAUUUCAGAAAAUGUUUGUAACUUAUCAAUAUUAAAUUUUGAUACAAUAUUGACAUAAUUCUAUUGUAGUAGUAAAUAUACUAGUGUUCGAUUUCGAUUAGAGACUCACUAGCGAAUACCAUUAUUGUAGAAAUCAGUAGUGGUACAAGAGGAACAUAAGGCAUCAUUUUCAUCAUCUCAAUGCAUUGUGAGUAUUCACGACUCCCCCUAUUUUCGGUUUCUAAAUGUUUUGGGGUGGAAAAACAUGUGCGGAAAACUAUUAUUUGUUCGUUGUAUUUAAAUUGAUUUGUAUCAAACUAUUUUGCUAUAUUUUUCUAUGUAUGUCUAUGCAACACGAAACAUGAGAACUUAUAUUCUUAAGUCCUUUCCCUUAUACUUUAAUCCAACCAUUAACUCUUCGAGCCAAUGGUCAUUAUGGAUAGCGCUAUUAGGAAUCAACAACUCCUCACUCGCUCGAUUGCUUGAGUGCAUGAUACCAUAUAAUCUAUGGAAUGAUGAACAUAGAUCUUGAUAGGGCAUUAGUCAUAGGCUUGGUUGUGAACUCAUUGUUUGCUCAUAUACAUACAUACUUGUUAUUUAUUAUGGCAAUAGACUUUUUUAUUAUUUAUAGCAAUGAACUUUGUUUCUCAUUAUAGCAAUGAACUUUGUUGCUCAUUACAACAAUGAACUUUGUUUAUGCAAACUUAUUUACUCAUUUGCAAUAUAUUUCUAUUUAUGGGAACUUCUAUUAAAACUUUGAUUACGAUUCAUGAAACCAGUAUUAUUUUUAACUUGUGAGUACUCACCAACUAUUUUUAUAGUUGACGCUCGUUUUACAUGCUUUUUCAGGAAUCAUCGAGUAAGUGGCACUUAGGGACACAUCACUUUUAGGAGCAUUCGCAUGUGUUAUAUUUCAAUUUACAUUGUAAUUUCUUUUAAAAGUUGUUCAAACCCAUUGUAAAAUUUUAAUGAUUUUAAUACUAUGGUUGCUGUUGUCUUUUAACUUUUGCUAUGAAACCCUUUAUACUGCCACACCUCGUGUUUCCGCUUUAGCGGGGUGUGACAUCCCUUAUAAGGGGGUGUGAAUACCUUUCUUGUCACAACACGUUUGAAAUCCGUGAGGACAGCAGAUCCCAUAAUGUGACAUCCCCUAAUUUCUUGGCCAGAAAAGACCGAUUUAAUUUAUGCUUUUUAAAAUAAAAUCAGAGAAAUCUUUUUAAAAGAUGUUGCGGAAUUGGUCCCCAAACAACAUAUGAUAAAAGUUUAUCAAAACCCUUCAUUAAGAAGGUAUAUAUUUUCCAUAUAUAUCAAAACCUCGGGAUGUCAUGUUCCGAUACAAAUCAAAAGCAUAAACAAGACAUUAUAAGCCUUUCAACAGUUAUUUACAACUACUGGCCUAUAAUCCAAAAAUCUCUCAUCGUCCUCCAACUAUGCUCGGGGUCCACUACCUGUAAUCAUAAAACUGAGUAGGUCAGGCUUGGGAGCCUAGUGAGCAUAUAGGGUUUUCAACCCACAAUAAUAACAUACUUAUUAAGUUCACCAAUCAACAAUAACCAUGAUUACCCAUUCCCGUUGUCCUCACUUUACGUCCCUCAACACCUAUCACAAGGGACCUAGCCUAAGGAUUUUCAUCGGGAUGGACAUUACUGCUAAGGGGUUUCCUCAGCCAUACAUGUCCUAAAGGCAACAAUGAGGGGGAUGGAGUACGCCAAUGAACAUUUAAUUCAUCAAAACCUACAAGUUGCGAACCUGCUAGUGUUCCACUGGACUGUCUAGAAAAGUCUGUGGUCGCCAUCUAUACUCCGCUAGAUGACAACACCAACAACAUCGAGGCUCUCGCCUUUUUAACACACAUCAACUAUUUCAUCUACCCAUGUUCUACCCAACAUAUUUUGUAGAUAAAAAGCAUAUACAGUUUAAAACUUGUAUAAAACAUCAAUUCAACAGUCACCUCAAAUAAACAAUUAACAUAUUUACACAUAACACGUAUUUCAAGGUAAAUACUUCAUAUCUAUGUGUAAAUUGAAAGUAACUACACAAUCACAUGAUUUGAUGAUAAUCGGCUGCAAUUCAUUUCCUAAAAUGAUCGUUUCUAAUAAAACCGAGAGUUUUAUUGAGAAACCGGGCUUUGUGAAAGUCGGGCUACGAAACCGAAAAGAUAAAUUUUCCGGGCUUCUCGGGCACUUCAUGGAGUAUUCCAGGCUUUACAAUCGAUAUCGGGGCUUUGCGGGAUGUUAAGAUGAAAGAAAUAUGGGUUUAGGGGUUAAAAUUGACAAUUUUUCUAAGUUACCCGGGAGGUCUCGCACCCUUCUAUAUAUAGGGGCGAGGCUUCUGAUCGGACGGUCAGAAAGAAGACACGCAUCGCAGAUCCGAAGCUCGCAGAGGAGGUGGCUCGCAUGUGGCUGCGCAUGGCUCGCACAUGGGUCGCACCUGCGAGGGCUCACUGGCAACUUCUAAGUGGACCGGAGUCUAGGUCCGAGGUUCGGACCCGAAGCAGGAGGGAAGGGAGACAACGGGUGCGAAGGUCGGACACGCGACAGGCAUUGCGAGGCGCGGACUAGGCUGCACACGCGUCGCUCCUCGGAUGUGCCACGACUUCGGAUGACUCAGCAGCUUGGUGACUCAGCAGGACACGUGUCACAUUCUAAGCGAGGGUGACGUGGCAAAGUGUGACUAUGUGAAUUUUCUUGAUUUUCACGCCAAAACUUCUACAAUCCAUAACUUUCGCAUACGAGGUCUGUUUUUGACGUUCUUUAUAUGUACGUAGCUAAAAUUACGCUCUACAACUUCCGCUUAGACUUCGUCGGCUAAUUUUGACUUUAAUUUUAUUAUUAUUAUUUUUAACAGACCGGGACAAGAAAUCCGUUAAAAAUUCAUAACUUCUUUAUCCGGCGUCCGUUUUCGUCAGACUUUUUACCGUUGUGCUACUAAUGACGAGACCUUCAAUUCUCGUUUAGGUUGUGUCGGCUAAAAAUCGAUCGAUCUAAAAUUCGAGUUUUUAGCUAUCUAUUGCUAAGCUGAAACUUCGAAAAAUCAUAACUCCCUCAUACGAAGUCAGAUUUGGGCGUUCUUUUUAUCGAACUUCUCGGUUUAACGAAUACUAAGACUUUCAUUUAGAUUACUAAGGCUAAAAAGUAGUUUAUCAAAAACUCACUUUUUACGACACUCAGCACCGUGUCGGUUUUGUUGUGAAACUUCGACAGGUCAUAACUUCUUCGUUAUAACUCGGAUUUUGGUAUUCUUUAUAUCCAUGAAAUCCUUGUUUCGACCACUACAACUUUAUGUAAAGAUAUCGGUCUUAUCUCACACUUUAUUUUUAACGCUUAUUUUUAUUCUUAAUUAAUUAAGCCUUAAUAAUUAAGCAUAAAACACAUAAUUCCUUUUCAUUUCUUCAAAAUGAGUUACAAAGGUUAACCUAGACUAUCAACUCAAUAUAAAUGCCUAGGCUAGAAACACGAGUGUUACACAUAAGAACUCUGUAGUUAAGCAUGCCUGAGUGAGAGCAAUUCAGGGAUGGGUGACCCCUUGGGAAGUUUUCUUGUCGGGAGCCCAAAGCGGACAAUAUUGUGAUACAUGCCAGUGGAGGUGUUACAAAUGGUAUCAAAGAUGGGGAACGGGUCGAUGUGUUCGACGGGGACAUCGAAACCUAUAAUGGCGGGUGAAGGUGGGUUGCACCUGAUCCCAUAUCGACUGGGAAUUAGAACUAAGCAUCCCUUAUAAGGGGUGUGGAUACCUUCCUUGUCACAAUGCGCUUUAAAGACGCGAGGGCAACAAAUCCUAUAAGAACUUUGCAGUUAAGCGUGCCCAGGCGAGAGCAAUUUAGGGAUGGGUGACCCAUGGGAAUUUUUCUUGUCGGGAACCAAAGCGGACAAUAUCAUGAUAUGUGCCAGAGGGGGUGUUACACCUUGCCCAACCUGGCCGUAACUCAGAACAGGACGAUAAAUCUAGGGCACAAAUUAACCCACUUCCUAAAAUGAAUAACACCCUUUCAGGGUCACUUUUAAAAGAAUCAUAUCCCCGACCUAGAACUCCAACUCUAAACAUUGUCCGUCUGUGUAACUCUUACAUCAGCUCUAAGUUGUCAACAAUCUCUGUCUAACCUGCAGAAAAAGUUUUGUCGUCUUGAGCAUCACCAUAGUGCUCCCUAUGACCCUCUAUUACACCCCUGACCGAGUUGGUGGAACUUGUCGGGCAGUGCGACUAAGUUCAUGGAUCAUAGGAAAAUUGAAUAUAUAUAUAUAUAUAGCACAAGUACAACAAUAAACAAAACAACAUUUGUAUUCCAUAUUUAUGUUUGAAUACAUGGUUUUUACAGAUAAUAGUGUAAUAUAUGAAUUGCCUUAAACAGGUAGGAAGACAUAACCAAAAAUAGUAAACUAGAUUACCUAAAAUCCACGACUAUCUUCGUCUAACUUUUCUUGAUUACUAACUCCUUGAGAAUACAUGUAGUUUUGAGGGCUAACACAAGGUUGGUGAGAGUUAUAGAUUUGCUGACAACAACGGUAAUGAUAUUUUAAAAAUCUUUCAAAAAGUAUUUUUGUUAUAAGUAAAUCCAUGCUUAAAAUGAUUUUGAAAGAAUCAAGUUUAUGGGUUAUAGUAAAAGAGAGAGAGAGAGAGAGAGAGAGAGAAAGAGAGAGAGAUUCGAGUUAAUGUUUAUAAUGAUUCCUAUAACUGAGCCAUGCGACUUAAUGUACCAUAGUACAAUGCUUCAUUGGACGUUGUAGUAAUGAUAAUAGACACUUAUCACCUGCUUCGAUUGAUCGGUCGAGGUUGUAGCUAGCAACCUCAGAUGGGGAUGCCACCCCAUAUAGAUCUAUAGAUAUGUAUCUCGCUCUGAAGAUUAACAUUUAUAGUAGUGUGGGUAUGCUAAGUGUUUAGACUUUAGCUAAUGAAUAGUGUCUCACUAUAAAGCCCUUAACUAAGGUAUAAAUAACUCUCAGCCCUAACUUAAAAGUGGAUAAGUUCUAGGCAUAGUAAAUCAUAUAGAGUUUAUAGAAGUCAAGCAUAGUUGGUAUGUAUGUAUAGUAUAAGGCACCAACUUUUAUAAAAUAAGUAUGUUUCUUGUAUAAAGUUUGUACAUGUGUAUAUAUAGUUCAAAUCUUUAGGAAUACUACAAAGUUUUAUGGCAUGCAUUUAAUAACACACAAUGUCAUGUAAAAAUAAUAGGGUUUCGUAGUAAAAAGGCAUAUGUUAUUUUUAAAAGUUGUGUUAUUCUAACAACAUAACAAAUGAAAAUAUUGAAGUUUAAAACUAGUUUAUGUGUUCGAAACAUAAAAAGGUUAAACCAGUAAUUUAUAAACUAGUUAUAGUUUUUCAAUAAAAUAAUGAUACUUUAUGUGCAUUUUUGUAUUAUCUAACACAUGUAGCACAUGUAUUCAACUCUGAAAAUAUAUAAAAGAUGGGCCAUAACUAUCACACCCCGAAAACCGAAGGCGGAAACAUUUCCGGGGUUGACUCCACGUUGAGUAUCAAAUCCAAUGUACAUAGUAAGUAAAGUAAAACAACCAUUACAUUAUAUAUAGAAAAGUUUUACAUUUGUUUCAAAAGCAAAGUUAUACAAGUGAUACAUAGUUUAUAUGAACAACACGAAACGAGUCUUCUGAGAACUCCGUCUUCAUACAAAAGGAUCUUCAGGUACCUGUCUAACACUGACCUGAGAAUACAAGCGAUUUGAAAAUCAGCAUAAAGCUGGUGAGUUCAUAAGAUGUUUGUUUUUCUGAAAAUGUACGAGUUCCUUUAGUUUCCUGAAAAAGUGGUUAUCCAAGAAAAUCCCAUAUUCUCUUAAAAGUUGGUUACCAAAUCCGAAAAGUAACGUAAACGAUGUACAAUGAAACAUGAUUGUUCUUGUGAAUUGUAAAGUUUAGUUAUCUAACUUGUUACACUUUUCUAGUUACGUACUACGGUUACUCAGGAAAAUCCUAUAUUUUCCUAUAUAUGUGUGUGUGUGUGAACUGUUACUGAUUCUAUGUGUACGAACUGUUACCGAUUCCGAUUAUGUUCAAUGUUAUCCCCAGGAAAACCCCAUGUUUUCCUGAAUGUGUGUGUGCGAACUGUUACCGAUUCCGAUUAUGCUCAUUGUUAUCCCUAGGAAAACCCCAUGUUCUCCUGAAUGUGUGUGUGUGAACUGUUACCGAUUCCGAUUAUGCUCAUUGUUAUCCCCAGGAAAACCCCAUGUUCUCCUGAAUGUGUGUGUGUACUGUUACCGAUUCCGAUUAUGUUCAAUGUUAUCCCUAGGAAAACCCCAUGUUCUCCUGAAUGUGUGUGUGUACUGAAAGUCCGGUUAUCCUUAAACAUACAUUAGUUUUAUUACGUAUAUAAAACUAAUAAAUACGUAUAAAGUGUUAAUAAUCUUGAUUGCGAGUCCUUAACCAUACUCAGACUAGAUAUGAAUCGGGCCAGGGCCAGUAUCCUUUUUAUGACUUUCUUCACCCUUGAACCUUUCGGUUCGGUUGUAGCUAGCAGCCAGGUGCGGGAUUGUCAGUCCCGUAUAGAUCUAUACACUCAAGUCACGUUCUCCCUCCUCGAGAUUCUGGUUACAGGGUUAGUCCUCCACUCUCUCGUGCCAAGGAAGUGUUACAAAGGACGUGUCUCCAAUCUUUAAGAUUACUCUUUACUUCUCGCCUAGGGAAGUAGUAUCUACGACUAACUAAGUUCUAAUGUGUCUGUCCUUUACACUCGAGCCUAGGUGUAUUAUUAAAGACGUUACAAAUGUUCAGUGUUAUCUAAUGGUGAAUGUCCUUUACACUCGAGCCUCGGUGUAUUAUCAAGGACAUUACAAAUGUUCUAUGUGAUCUAAUGAUGACUGUCCUUUACACUUGAACCUAGGUGUAUUAUCAAGGAUAUUACAUUUGAUUUGUGUGUUAUGAUGGUGUUUGUCUUUCACACUCGAGCCUAGGUGUAUUGUUAAGUAUAUACAGACGUUUUAUGUUUUCUGAUGGUGUCUGUCUUUUACACUUGAAACUAAGUGUUUUAUUACAGACAUUACAAUGGUUUAUGUUUUCUAUCAAUAUAAGUGUGAACAAUCAAAUGUGAAGUAUACAACAUAUUAGUGUAUAAUAAGAAUUGAAAAUCGGUUUUAAACAAACAACUCUGCAAGUUAAAACAGUUUGUUAAAAGGUUUUCAAUUCUUAAAAAUGUACAAUUAUGAAACCAUUUAACUGAAAUCAUGAGUUUAUGUACAAAAUAUUCUUGUACUUUUGUAUGUAUUCCCCCCCUGAAAACAUUGAAAAACCAUUGAAAAAGGGUAGGGGUAUAAACUCACCGAGCGCGGAAUGUGACGACUAGGAUGCUAAACGUCGAAUCAAGGCUUGAAUACGAGCGAGGUUCCUAUGUUAUAUGAAAUGGUAUACAAAUAUAUCUAAUUAGUUUUAUAAACUCUAAUUUGAUAUGAUAUUACACUCCAAUGAGCGAAAACACUUCAAAACGAGUGUUUGGAGUGACCCGGGUGACAUCUACGGACGUGUAUUGAUGCGGGGGACUUGGGAAUUGAGUUUACUCUUCAAGAGUAAACUCCUUAUGGAGUUUUCGGCCUCUUAUACCAUACACACAUGAGUUCACGGCCGUGAACUCAUGUUGGCAAGGGUUAUGGAGCUUAAAUGGCUAAUAUCACUUGGGAAGAGUUGGAACAAUUUUUCCUAAGGCUUGGGAUUGAUUUAAUUCAUCAAAUAACACCACUUAAGGGAGUUUACGGCCCUAGCAUGGAGCUUACGGCCGUAAACUCCUAUACCCCCCCUUGAAUAAGUGUUUUAAUGUCCCAAAAUUAAUCACAUGCGAUUCCAAUAAUUUUUACAAGUCUUGAUAUUAAUUUAGGGCACCAAUUAACACACAAUUAGGAGUUUACGGCCCUGGAGCACAUGAUAUGGCCGUAAACUCUCAAAUGAAGAGUUUUGUUAUGUUUAAGGUCCCCAAACUAUUUUUGGUUGGUUCUAUGAUUUAUUCCAAGGCUUUUGGUGGUGUUGGAUGGCUUUCUAACAUGUUUGGAAUGAGUUUACUCUCAUGUUUGAGGGGUUUAUGACCCAAGCACAUGCCUUGGCUGUAAAAUCAUGCAAAUCCCUCAAAAUCCAUGUAAAAGUGUUCUAAGUCCAUUUCAUGAAGUCAUAUAGCCUUAUCUAAUGUCUAGUUGUGGUUUGGAAGGGUUUAAGGGCUUAAAACCCUCUAAAUAUGUGUUUACGGACUAAGCACCUUCCAGGGCCAUAAACUCAUAUACAAGGUCCUAAUUCAAGCUUUAAUCUCGAAUUUGAAGGUCAAAUAUGAUACACAAUGAGUUAAGGAAGGUACCUUGGUGAUUUGAAGCCUAAAUUUGAUGUUUUGGACCUUGAAUCUAGCUUGAGGAGAGAGGUUAGAGAGAGAUGGUUGUGAAAUGAAGCAAAAGUUUCAAAUGAAAGCUUGGAUCACUUGAAAUAGUGUCCAAGUUCGGGACACGGUGGAAUUCUACCCGAUACCGGCGUUAGACGGGGCUUUUGGUCGCACCCGGCCAAAUUGCCGUAACCCGAUAUGGCUGAUACUAGAAAUGUUCCAAUCGCUAAUACUAGGCAUUAGAAUGAGUUCUAAAGGUAUUAGGACAUUCAUUAAGUCAUAAAAUAAAAUACUCAUUAAUGACUUAAUUAAAUGUCGGAAUUGGAAACGAAAUUGGAAACGGCGAUUGGAUGAUCGAAUUGAGUCGCGAAAAGGGGUACAAGCAGUGAUACGAAUUUCGGGUUGUCACAUUAACACUCACCUUAAAGUGUCGUUGUCGAGUUGUUUCGAGUAUUUGAAGCUAGAAACCGAGAUGUGUUGCUUUGAACACGAACCUCCAAUAUUAAUUUAGUUUCCUAGGAAAUUUUAAUAUAAAUUAAUAUUUAGAGUGUCAUUUGGUAAUUUAACCAAAGCAUAGGGCCCAUUUACUAAUUAAAAUAAAUUAAAUGGGACUAAAUUAGUUAAUAAUUUCCAAGAAAGGUACUAAAAUGAUUUAUUUAAAUUCUAAGUCCGAGUUUAGGAUUUAUCUUGCAAAUAAAUCUCAAGGGAGGGUUUAAACUAUAUAAAUAAAAUGAAAGUUUAAUUGAUUUAACUUGUUUUGAAAUAGAUUUCUAAGGAGAGGUAAAAUAAUUAAAUUGAAUGGAAGUUUGAGUGUUUUGGAUUUGUGUUGAGCAUAAUUUUUCAGGGAGCGUGUGUUUUAACUAUUUUAAAAUGGAGUUUGGGGAGGUGGGGCUUGUUUUGUAAAGAAUUUUCAGAUGUAGGGUUUAUAAUUAAUUUCGAAAUGAAGUUUGAACAGUAGUAAGGAGGAUUGAUCAUGAGGUAAUCACCUCCUCAUGUGUUCAUCGUUUCCACGCACGAAGGAAAAAAAAUCAACCUUGUUUGACGAUUUGCGAUCGAUACUAAAACAAAAAUGGAAAUAAUGAAGGUGGUGGGGUGACCUUACAAUGUAGCAAUAGUCGUAGGAGGUCGAUGAUGGAGAGGGGUGCUUACUAGCAUCCGAAUGUGACAGUUGGUGUGUUUGGUGGUGGCAGGAGAACUCUGAUAGCCUCAUGUUGUCAUUUUCUGCUUUUUCUUUAUGAAGACAAAGGGAAGGGAGGGUGGAGGGACCUCACAAAGCAAAAAGACAACAUAUGUGUUUGGUGGUGGCAGGAGAACUCUGACAGCCUCCUUGGUGUCAUUUUCUGCUUCCGACAGUCCCUUUGCUACCCAUUGUCUUAGUUCCUUUGGCAGUAGAUUGACGAGGGGAAGAGUGGGGAGGGAUGGGAGAAGGUUGAGGGGGGUGUUGGGUAGUGAUUUUAGGUCAAGAUGAGUGGAAGUGGUGGUGGAAUAAGGUGGUGAUGUUUGUGGUGUAAUAACCGUGAGAGAGAGAUAUGUAUUGAGGGAUUGAAGGAUUGAAAUGUUGUGUGAAAAUAAAGUAGAAGGCGCUUUCUUUUAUAGACUAAUAUGGACACCCACACCCGUGGAAGCCAUGCUUCACUACCAUACUUUGUACCUUGAAAUGGAGGUGUGCAAGAAACCAAAGGAAGGAGAGGGAGGUUAUCACACGUGGGCAAGAGUGAUAUAUCAUCAUAUUUUUUUUGUCUACCAAGCUCUUGUGAGCCCCAUAUUGUGCUCACAUUCUCUUUAAUUGGCCAAAACCAUCAUAUUUUUGUGUAUCGAGAACCCAAUGUGAAGAAAAUUUUAUAAAAGUUAUGUUAGAGUUGGGUACAAGCAUUCCAAAAAGCUGAAUAGAUUAAUUUUUCGAGUUAUGAAACUACGGGAAAUCGCAUUUAAAGUUUCGCGUCUAAAUGACACGAACGCUCGAUUUUUUGACUUUUGCAAAUACUUUCACUAAAAAUAUUAAACCACGUGUGAAAUUAUAUAUUAGACCAUAGCUUGAGUCCAAAAAUGCUCUCAUAAUUUCCAUCAAAGAUGUGCAAGUGUCUCAACAGAUCGAUUUGGUUUUACGCCAUUAAAGAAAGUUAGUGUUUUACUGUUUGUUUCUUAAAACUAUUGUAUCUUUUGCAUACGAACUCUGUUUUAACUGUUAUUUAUAUUUUCCGAAACAGGGGGAACAUGUACUAUGAUAUUUUAAUUUUUGUUUCACUCAUAACUGCUUAAUACGAAUUUUCAGUUUUUCAGAAGCAUUAAUUAGGGUUGCAGUUUGAGUUGUUUUAUUCGUUUGACAGUUUUUCACAUUUGGAAGUAAGAUAUCAUCUUGUAUCUCAUAAUAUUUGAAAUGAAUCCAUUUAUUUUACAUUAGAUGCACUAAAAAUCAAUGUACAAAUUACAAAGAGAUUUACUAUAAAUUAACCGUUCACAGUCUAUGACCUAAAUUCUAAGAUGUCACACCCCAAUAAAUCGGUGUCCAACAUUUCCUCCCAUAGAGAAUCUUGAAGGAAGGCAUAACAAUAUUAGCAUGAUGGUUGUUUUUGUAAGAGAACUUAGCCAAGGAAAGUUUGGAGUCCCAUCUUCCAUCGAAAUCAGUGAUACAUGCCCUCAAUAUAUCCUCGAGAAUCAGAAUAGUCCCUUCACUCUCGUCAUAUGUCUGCGGAUGAUAUGCAACACUAAAAUGCUACCUAGUACCUAACUCAUCAUGAAACCUCUUCCCAAAUCUAGUGUUAAACCGAAUGUCUCAAUAAUAGACUAUAGAAAUAGGAACCCCAUGAUAAGCCACUACCACUCGAAUAUAGAUGUCUGCUAAUUUCCCGGCCGAGUGGCUCUCCCGAAUAGCAAGGAAAUGAUAACUCUUGGUCAGAAGGUCACCGAUCACCCAUAUAACAUUAAAACCCAUGGCUGACCUUUGUAAUUUGGUGAAAAAAAUUUGUGGUGAUCUGCUCAUAUUUCCAUACAGGGAUCUCCAAAGGCUACAACUUACCGUGUGGUCUCUAAUGCUCGACCUUGACCUUCCAACAGGUGAAACGCCUCUCUGUUUGAUUAGGUGUCUAAGCCAAUAAUUAAAUUGGUAUACAGUUGAAUUAAAAGCAAAGUCUUUUUUGGGUUGCCGUCAAAACUAGUAAUUAACAAAAUCACUUUUUAGAGGGAGGUUGAUUUAUUGGUUUAUUAUGAGAUUAAUAAAUAGCAAUAAAUAGUUUAUUGAUAUAUAUAUAUAUAUAUAUAUAAGAUUAAUAUAUUAAAUAAAAAUAGUAUUAUCUAAUUAAUAAUUAACCAGAAAUUAAUUGGAAUUAAUUUUGGGAUUAAUUUGAUAAAUUACACAUGUAAGGUCCUAAGCUAUAAUUGUUCAGUAGUUGAACACGAGAAGGAUUCGAGAACCUUCCUAGUGUUGGCGAAAUUAGGGAGCCUCCUUAGGGUUCUAGAUUAACAGUUAAGGAUAAUUAGGAAUGUGGAUAAUUACCUAACUUGAAAUAAUAAUAUUAUAUUCAAAUUAGGGUUUCUAGGGUUUCCUAGUUCAACUAUAAAAAGAGUCUUAGACCUACAAUUUUUGGCCACUCCCUUCACAAGAAGAGUAGCCGAAAAUUUAACUAUCCCUCCUCUCUCCUAUCAAGUCUUCUAUUGCUAGGGUUUGGGUACAAACCAUUAGAGGCAUGAGAUUUCUGGCGUUUGCUUUAUGUAGCUUGUUUAAGAAGGAGUUGAUUGAUUAUUUAGUAUAAUAAUCAAAAGGUAUGUAAACCCUAAAAGCCUUUGUAAUUUCGAUUACAGUAAGGCCUCUGUACGGUUCUUGAUGUUUAAUUGUUUGUUUUAUCAAUAGAGAAAACUUAGAUCUAAAUAGGUUACAUGUGAACUUCAGAGUUAAGUUUUUUUCGCCACAUAUUUUUUUGUAAUGUAUAUAACCUAUCAGUUUUAUCGGAGCCCACAGUUUUCAAUUGAUGUUGUACAAUGUUGAAUAGAUAAAAAUUAGGUUUUAUAGAAAUUAAAUCCUAAGGGAGGAAAUUUCAAAAUUUGCUAGGGUUCUUGAAACCCUAGCCUCCACCCUUAGAUUUCGAAAAUUGCUAGGGUUAGAUAUGGUUUAUCUACUUUCCUUAAUUAUUAUUUUAAUAGUCUUAAAAUUUGAAUAAUUAAAACUUGAUAAACACAACCCUAAUUUCAAAAAUUUAGAAGGUUUUGGAGUGAGAUUAAAUUUGAAUUAUUUUAUUAAUUGUCUAAUUUAAAUAAUUAUUUAAUCCCUAAAAAUUUAAUUAAUUGUUUAAUAAAAAGAUAACGAUAACUCAUAAUUGGUUUAAUAUUAAUUAAUUAAAAUAUUUAAUUUAAAUAAUUAAUAUUUAAACCUUGUAUUUUGAAUAGUUUUAAAAUAUACCUUAUAUAUACUAUUAAAAGUUUAAUAUAUUAUAUGUAUAAGACAAGUCAGUNNNNNNNNNNNNNNNNNNNNNNNNNNNNNNNNNNNNNNNNNNNNNNNNNNNNNNNNNNNNNNNNNNNNNNNNNNNNNNNNNNNNNNNNNNNNNNNNNUUUAAGAAAACAAUCUAUAAAUGACCGUCAUUGGGUGCCCACUCUCACCUACCGCUCUCUUGUAUGGUGGAGGGUCGUUAGCCGAACGGAUUUGAUAUGACAUAAUCUCAUUAAAAGGAUAAUGAUAUAAAUGUAAACCUACUUUAAAAAUCUCAUUCUAGUUACUUUAGGAAAAAUAUGAAAAGUAUGCUAAUCCAUGAAAAUGCACAUUAUACUUUAAUAUUUCGUUAGUGGAGCGUGUGGUUAUAGACACACUAAUAAGGACCUUUAAAUGGAAAUGAUGGGCAUCCCGAAAAUUAUCAUUUUUAAUGGAGCACGUGUGGUUAAUUGACACAUUAAUUAUAGAUGAUAAAUGACAUCGAGGUUGUGAAGUGUGUUUGCAUGUUUUUUCACAUCUUGUUUGUGAUUCUCGACAUCCCAGUUACAAAUAAAAUAACAUAAUCUAAGAUUAAACACGCAAUUGAUAGGAUUCAAUGAAUAUCAAAAGAUCUAGGAAUUUCAUAGAUUGAAAUCGGUGAAUUGUUUUACCUACCUUCAUAAAUUUGUAAUAAGAGUACGACAUCCCUUUUCUUAGUUGUGAAUUGUUAUAUGGGAUCCUUGCCUUGAAUAUUAUCUAUGGGUUAAAAAUAUUAAAGACUUAUAUCAAUGAACUAAAACUAUUACUNNNAUAUAUAUAUAUGUCUAUUCUAGGAGAUUCUACUACUACUCAAUCAUCCACCAAUAACAACUUCACUCUACUAUCAAUCCUCUCCAAAGAGAAACUAGUUGGUCCAAAUUACAUGGACUGGAUGUGAAAUCUCAAGAUGACUCUUUGAUAUGAGGGCAAAGAAUAUGUCCUUGAAAAACCUCUUGUCGAAGUAGAUGAGUCAACUGCUACUCCAAAAGAGAUUGCCACCUUCAAGAAACACUAUGACAAUUAAACAGACGUUGCUUGCAUCAUUGUUGCAACCAUGGUACCUGAGUUGCAAAAUUUCUAUAAGGACUAUUAGCAGUUUGAGAUGGACUCAGAUCUUGGGGAAAUUUUCCACAAGAAAGCACAUCAAGAAAAGUAUGAGGUUGACAAAGCGUUAAUAGCCUGCAAGUUAAAUGAGGGAGAGUCUGUCUGCAAUCAUGUGUAGAGAAUGCAGAGAUACACAAAGCGUCUUGAAAGGCUCAAUGUGAAUUUUGACGAGGAGUUAGCCAUUGACAUAAUCCUUAACUCCUUACCAUAUUGUUAAGAUCAGUUCAUCUUGACUUAUCAUUUGAACCGCAUAGAGACGACAUUGGCCCAACUCCAAAACCCGUUGCGGACAGCUGAAUCAAGGAUGAAAAUUAAUCAAGUCCUUUCUACUACAAGGGCUCCCGUCCUUGACAUUUGGAAAAACCUAGGACUGAAGAGGAAAUCUAAUCCUCAUUCAAACUCGAAGUGUAAGUCCCAUGCUGGAUCGUCUAGCACGGGUGAAGGUGAAGCCCAGUUUAGAAAUUCCUGCUAUUAGUCACCCCAAAGAGGUCACUUGCUACUAUUACAACAAAAAGGGUCACUGAAAAAGAAGUUUCCCUAAAUACUUGCAAAACAUCUAAGGAUGGCUAGGUUAAUCCAUCGUCGGCAGGUAUAUACAUUAUUCAAGUCAAUAACUGACAACUUACUCAUUCUUGGGUCCUUGAUACAGGGUGUGGAUUUCACAUUUGUUCUGAGUUACUGGGGCUAAGAGAAAGUUAGGAGGUGGAGCAUGGAAGAAUAAAUCGGAUCAUGGGCCAUAGGUGGUCUUCUCCUGUUACCAAGAUUGAAACUUAUGGUCUUGUGCUUGGUGGUGAUGUUAGGGUAUAUUUGAUUGAUUGUUGUUAUUCGUCAGAAAUAAUCUGAAACACUAUUUCUUUUCAUGCACUAUUUAGACAAGAUUUUCGAUAUUCUUUUACUGAUAUGAAUAGUUCAAUUUCAACUUAUAAAAAUGGUGUUUUUAUGUUUGAAGAUUUACCUUGUAAUGGUGUGUAUGAAACUAUGAUUUGUGUUGAUAGCUUAGCCAAUAGUGUAUUCCAUAUUGAUUUGUCUAAUGGUGUAGACAAAGCAUGCUUGUGCAAUUGUCUUAUUGGACACAUUAACAAGAAACACAUCGCUCAAGUCCAAAAAUAUGGAGUAUUGGAAUCGUUUCACUUAAGGUCAGAUGAUGUAUGUGAGUGUUUUCUGUAACAUACCAAAAUCCCGGCCAAAAAAAUAAUUCAUUUUUAUUUAAAAUAAAUAUCCUCAAUAACAAAACCAUUUUAAGAAAAACUAUUCAUUCUCGAUUACAAUUAAUAAAAUCAGGGUAUUAUAUUGAGCGCGAAAUCCUCAAUGUUGUUGAUGAGUGUGUAUAGUCCCACCUUCUCCUUCCUAUAAUCACCGAUGAUACCUGAAACCAUAAACAAUUGAGUAAGCAUAAAGCUUAGCAAGUUUCCCCUAAAAUACCCCAUACGGUAAACAUACAAGCCUACAUCGGGUCUAUUAAGCCAUCAGGCUAGAAUACCCAGGGUUUUUUGGCAUAUCGCCUCAACCCAACCGCUCUACCGGAGCCUUAGUGUCUUCGGCUUAUAGCCGACUCGCAUCGGGUAUCUUGGCCUAAAACACAAAGCAGGACCACCUCAACCCACCACUACCAUAUGUUGACAUAAAAGUAAACGAUGAUCAAGUAGGAACAUAAUAUAAACAAAUAGGAAUCAUACAACUCGCUCCCGCCUACUAGUCCUAUCAUAGCACAUAGUCCCACUACCAACUAACCUCCAUGAAAUGCGUAAUCAUAAGUAGACAAAGGUGAGAUAGCCACCCGAAUAGAUGAUCCUACUUUAGAGUCACAACCAAACAAGGAACAUGCAACAAAGCCUAGGUCUAGAGUUCUCAGGCUAUCCUACAUGACCAAAGAUAUCCCCUAGGGCAUUCCACUAGAUGAUAACUAGCAAGUACAUAUAACAUACACAUCCAACAGUGCACUAUAGCAUAGCAAUGUCCUACAUACCAGGAUAUCGAUCUAGCAGAUCACUACAACAUAGCAACAUCCUAUAUAACGAUAUACCGAUCUACAAAUCACAACAACAUAACAACAUCCUAUAUACCAGGAUAUCGAUUUAACAUAUCAAUAUAGCAUAGCAACAUCCUAAGUAUCAACAAUCCAAGGAAUGCAUGACCGUAUAUUUAGAGGUGAGAUUGCCACCCGGACAGGUGUUCAUACUCUAGGACCACAACCAACGAAGGAACAGGUAAGAGAGCUUAGACCAAGAGUCCUCUGUUUACACUACAUGAGUGUAUACAGUCCAUAAGGCAUCCUUUUACUAAUAGAUAACCAACACUAUUGGGCGGACAUUGGUGUCUUUGACCCAUGGUACAAUGAGGAGAAACUCACCUGAAUGAAGAAACCUGAGUAUGCCUAAAGUACUUGGCACGUAUGCUAUCCAUACUUGUGAUCCAGAUCGGGGCUCCUUCCAACAUAUCCUGCACGUACAACAAGGUGCGCCCAACGUAUGCGACGUCUUACCAACCUUACUUUUAAGGACUUAAUCCAUUAAACCACUUCGCCCAAUUCUCAGUUCUAGUACCAAAUGAUAUUCCAAACUAUAAAGCUUCCAACUUUAUCGUUCUACAUGUGUACAUCAAGCCUAACAACAAAACCCUAACUUUUCUUAACCACUAAAGGCUUAAUAUCUUGCAUGGGGAAAACUAAGGGCCACGAUCAUAUUUUUAUGCUUCAAGACAUUCCAAACGUCUGAAUUGACAACUAAGAAGGAUUAGAGUACCUAAUACUCAUAAUACCAAGCUCAUGGGGUCCAAACUAACCACAAAUCUAAGGCUAACAAGAUCUAAAUGAAAUCAACAUCAAGUUCAGAACUUUAUACCUCCAAAGGGUGUCAAAAGAUGGUAGAAUCCUGGAUCCAAAGUUUUCCACUCUUUAAGGAUGAUCUUCUCUUCCAAAUUGUUCCUUCAAAGACACCAAAAUAUUCACAAAAGCUCAAAAAUGCACUAGAGAGGAUUAGGGUUGGCUAAGGAACGAUUUUCUAGAUGGAGGUUGAGGAGGGGAAGGGGUCUUGAUACAUAAAUAUGAAUAUAUAGUGCUCAAAACCUAAAUAAUUAGGGUUUGGCUUGGCUGGAGUACGCCCCGCAUACUCAUGUAGGCACGCCUCUUCCUAACUCGCUACUUCGGACCUCCCUUUUGCAAACAAUUCUCACUUCGUGGGUUAAAAGGUAAUAGUUGAAAAUCGAGGUAUUACAAUUAUCCUCCACAUAAGUUAGAUUUUUUCCUCAAAAUCAUUCCUUUUUUUACAUCCUCUCCCAUGACAAACUUGCCUGAUCGAACUUUCUGAGUUCUAGAUACAUCAUGAGAAUCACCUCCGCACCGCCAAUUAACCACCAUGUAGUUGUCUUAAUCCUAAAAUUUGCCGGAAACACCAGCCCUAGAGACGAAGAACCCUAGUUUCAUGUCCGUAGCCAUCAAAACAUGAGCUGAACGAUUAUUCAACUACUAACACGACCUCGGCUAAUCACAUGAUUUAAACCAAUUAAUCACUAAGCAUUAAGAUUCCGCACAAUGUACUGUCAUAUGCACCGGGUCUGCAGAUUUCGUUGGCUCCGAACCUCCUUGGCCAACCGCCGUCAUGCUAAUCCCGCACAUAAAUGCACCAUCGCGACAAGAAGUAACUGGUCACAUAAAGAACCAGGCCACAUCCCUAUUUGCCUCUGACAACCCUAUUUAGCUAUCUACUGGAAACACUCAUGCUUAAAUUUGAUCCACUAACUGACAACGACACUCGGGCCAACCCCUGAUCCUCUAACCAACAACAACACUCAGGUAUAUCCCCAAUCCACUAACCAAUAACAACUCUUGGCUAUGCCCCCGAUCCACUAACCAUCAAUAAUACUCGAGCCAACAAAAUUAACUGAUCCUACCAGGUCUUCGGGUCAUGGCUCAGACCUCGAAGCCCCAAUCAAACAAGAAUGGACAGGGUAGCGCUCAUCAUAUCCUUCAACCCAGGGCUCUUAACACCCUAGGAUUUUAAGCAGAAACACACCCAACUUAUGAUGUCAUAACUAAAACUGAUAUGACUAGGAUGGAAAUACAACUCCUGAAAAUGACCUUAACGCAAAAUCGAAAGAUUCAGCAAUUACACGAAAGUCUUGAACUUGGAGAAAUUCAACCGAAAACCAAACCUUGGCAUGAGGUUUUCCAGCUACGAGGUACCACUCUCCCCCAUUAGAGAUAUACUAGAGUCUAACGACUUUCAAAUCCUUAGAUACUCAGAUUAUCUUGAACCCCACUACUGUGAUCUAAAGUACAGAUAUCCACAUAUUCAUGAGAAUCUAAACUUACACCACAUUCAAAAUUCCAACUAGCAUACAAUCGAGAGUAAGGAUAAUUAAUUCGUUCAUACAAGAAAUUAAAUUAAGUAAGGCCAACUAAUAUACUUCCAUUUAACUAAUCAUUCGAGAUUACAACUGAACUUUGAAACACAAACAUAAAUUAUAGAUAAAUACAAAUACCACCACAACUGCUAAAAAUAAUAACUGACAACUCAACUCUCGGUCUCCAGGACUUCGGCCUUCCCAUGAAGAUCGUCCGACAACUAGCAAGCUAAGAGUGUAGGAUCCAGAACCUCGCCAACAAUGAUAAAAGGGCAACAAGCUCUAAUGUGGCAUUCCUAGCCACACUUGCGACAUAUAAAAGAUUUGCACCUCCCUCUAACUGAUCCCAAACUCCGUCCGGCAUACUUGAACCGCUUUUAUGUAGGCUGAGACUGAUCCAGAGCAUGACACUGCUCCCUCACCUAUGUCUCUAUCUCAAUCUCUUGCCUCCUCGCGGUAUCCUCAAGCUCAGUGAGAGAACCAUAGUGUUGGGUGGACACGAACUACCGAAUAUAUGUCUUGAGCAUGCCUAAAUACCUAGUCAUCACUGUCUCCUCUAAAGUAGCGAACUCAGGACUAAACAACGCCCUUUCAGUGAACAUAUUGGUGAUCUUCGUCGCUGAUUCGGUCAUCUGUAUCAGAUCCAGGUACUCAUGGGCCAGCCUCUCCUUCUUUACCAGGGAAACAUAUAUAGCAUGUAACAUUUCCAAGAAGUGCUCCCAAGUCAUCACAUCCCUCUACUCAAGAGUGUAAGAACCAGUCACCACUCCCCACCAAUCCUUUGCCCCCAACCUGAGGAGGUUCCUGGAACACUUGACCUUCUGGUUUUCUGGACAUGAACACGCGAAGAAAUAACCGUCCACAUCAGAAAACCAUCUCAUCACCACCAUGGGGUCCGGAACCCCCUCAAACUCCGGGGGCUUCAUAUUAUCGAUGUCCCAAUAUUGGAAAGUUAUCUCUCCUCGAACCCUAACGGAAACCAAAAUUGUGGUAGCUACAACCACAACGACCUCAGAAAGUGCAACAUAGCGAUCAUCAAAAAACUCAAUCAUGGCAGUCUUGAGCAACUCAAACAACUUCGGAGUUACCUCCCUGAUCGCCUCAUCCACUUCUAUAAGAAUGAUCCCAUGAAUCUCCUCCUCACUCAGACCUGCUCUCUCAGUGCUGCCAGCUCCUAAUCUUUAAACCUAUAGUAGUCGCCACAAUGAAAAACAUACCAAGGAGAGAUCAAAUAUCACAACAUAGUGCUCAACACAUUAGGCCCUCCUCCUAUUAGUUCCUUAGUAGCCUCAAAAUUAUUCUUGAAUCUCAUACGGAUCCCGUGCUUUUAGUAGUAUAUGCCUAUACUACCUUCCACAACUAUCCGUAGUGGAUUCAAAAUUCAUCCCAAGGCCCUAAGGCAUUGCAUUAGACCACUCCUAGGUGUGCCAAUACCAACUUCUACUACGAGCUACAACUAACUUCUUAGGCACUUAUCCUAAGAUUACCCUGGCUCCCGCACCACAUGUUGCUUUUAUGCAAGCUUAUUUUACACAAUACGAGAUCAAAUAGACAGUCGAAUGAUCGACACUACCCUAAGUCCACAACAAAACAAGGAACAUGAAGUAAGGCCAAGUCGAUGAUUCUAGGGCUCUUCAAUCCCGACUAUAUACAACUAAUCAACAUACAUGUAGCAAUCUCACAAUCAAGUAAUAUAUAUAUAUAUAUAUACAUAUAUAUAUAUAUAUAUAUAUACAGAGAGAGAGAGAGAGAUCAAAUUACACAAAUUGUCCCACGUACAGGUGUCACAUCAGGCUAGAAUACGCUGGGUUUGUCGGCCUACUGCCUCAACCCAACCUCUCUACCAGAGCCUCCGUGCCUUCGGCUUACAACCGGUCCACACCAAGUAUCAUGGUCUACAACACAAAGGAGGACAGCCUCAACCCACCACUACCAUAUAUCGACAUAAAAGCAAAAAAAGAUCAAGUACGCACAUAAUACAAACAAACAACAAUCAUACAACUCACUCCCGCCUGGUAGUCCUCUCACAUCACACAAUCCAACUGCCAUUUAACCUCCAUGAAAUGCAUAACCAUAAGUAGCCAGAGGUGAGAUAGCCACCCGAACAGAUAAUUGUUCUAUAUUGUGAAAAACAAACAAGGAAUAGAGAAGAAAGCCUAGGUCAAGCGUUCUCAGGCUAGCCUACAUGACCACAGAAAGCCCCUAGGGCACUCCACCACAUGAUAACAAGCAAGUACAGAUAACAUACACAUCCAAUAGUGCACUAUUGCGUAGAAAUGUCCUACAUACCAGGAUAUCGAUCUAGCAGAUCACUACAGCAUAACAACAUCCUUUAUAACAGGAUACUGAUCUAAUAGAUCACUACAACAUAGCAACAUCCUAUAUACCAGGAUACCAAUCUAAUAAAUCACUAAAUCAUAGCAAAAUCCUAAGUAUCAACAAUCCAAGGAAUGCAUGAGUGUAUACAUUCAGACGUGAAAUAGUCACCUGAACAUGUGGUCCUACUCUACAACCACAACUAAACAAGGAACAUCUAAGAGAGCUUAGAAUAACAGUCCUCAGUCUAUCGUACAUGACUAUAUAUAGUCCUUAAGGCAUCUUUCUACUGAUAGAUAACAAAAACUAGUGGGUUAACAUUGGUGCCUUUGACCCACGGUACAAUGAGGCGAAAAUCACUUGAAUGAACAAACCCAAGAACACUAAGAUACGGUCCCGUGGAUCCACUAACAUUAGGACCAUAUAAAAACUUAAUCACCAAUCAAACCCUCAAGUUUAACCUAAAGUCAAAAUUGGUCAAAAAGUCAACUCAAACCGAGUACGCCCUACAUAAUCGACACAUACGCUCUGCGUACUUGUGAUCCAGAUCGGGUUUCCUUCUGGCGUACGCCCAUCGUACGCGACGUCUUACCAACCUUACUUUUAAGGACUUAAUAUCUUAAGCCAUUUUGCCUAAUUCUCUGUUCUAGUCCCAAAUGACACUCCAAACCAUAAAGCUUCCAACUUUAUGGUUCUACAUGUCUAAAUCAAGCCUACCAACAAAACCCUAACUUUUCUUAAUCACUAAAGCUAUUAAUAUCUUGCAUGAGGAAAACUAAAAGACAAGAUCAUAUUUUUAUGCUUCAAGACACUCCCAAACAUUUGAAAGGAAAAAUCAAAAGGAUUAGAGUACCUCAUACUCAUAAUACCAAGCUCAUGGGUCCAAAAGAACCAUAAAUCUAAUGCUAACAAGAUCUAAAUGAAAUCAACAUCAAGUUUAGAAGCUUAUACCUCCAAAUGGGUGUCAAACGAUGGUAGAAUCUUAGAUCCAAAGUGUUCCACUCUUCAAGGAUGAUCUUCUCUUCCAACUUGUUCCUUUGAAGACACCAAAAUAUACACAAAAGCUCAAAAAUGAACUUGAGAGGAUUUGGUUUGGCUAAGGAAUAAUUUUCCAGAUGGAGGAUGAAGAGGGGAAGGGGUCUUAAGCGAUAAAUAUGAAUAUAUAGUGCUCAAACCCUAAAUAAUUAAGGUUUGUCCAGGCCGGAGUAUGCCCAGUGUACUCAUGUAGGCACGCCUUUUCCUAACUCGCCACUUGGGAUAUCCCUUUUGUAAACAAUUUUCACUCCAGGGAUUAUAAUGUAAUAUUUGAAAAUUGAGGUAUUAAAAUUAAAGGCGGGUUGCAACUGAUCCCACGUCGGAAUGGAAGGAGAACGAAGCAUUUCCUUAUAAGAGUGUAGAUACCUUCCUUGUCACCACAAGUUGUAAAUCCGUGAGGGCAGCAUAUCCCAUAAGAACUCUACAGUUAAGCGUGCUCGGACGAGAACAAUUCAGGGAUGGGUGAUCCCCUGAGAAGUUUCCAUGCCAGGAGCUCAAACCGGACAAUAUUAUGAUACGUGUCGGAGGGGGAUGUUACAAAUGGUAUUAGAGCUAGGGCACGAGUCAAUGUGCUCGACAGUGACGUCGAACCAUAUAAUGGGGGGUGAAGGUCAGUUGCACUUGAUCCCCCAUCAACUUUGAAGGAAAACGAAACAUUUCCUUAUAAAGGGUGUGGAUACAUUCCAUGUCACAAUGCAUUUUAAAUCCGUGAGGGCAGCAUAUCCCAUAAGAACUUUGCAGUUAAGAGUGCCCGGGCGAGAACAAUUUAGGGAUGGGUGACCGCCUGGGAAGUUUUUGUGCCGGGAGCCCAAAGUGGACAAUAUUGUGAUAGAUGUUACAUUUUCUUUUGGGUAAGAUAACAAAAUCACCUUUCACUUGUUCUUGUGAAAGAGGUGAAGGUUAAUUGGAUCUCAUAUACAUAGAUGUGUGUGGGUCCUUCAGACUUGCUACAAAGGAUGAAAAUCAAUACAAUGUGAUAUUUAUAGAUGAUUAUAGUAGAAAUGGGUGUAUCUACUUAAUUAAACAUAAAUCAGAAAAUUUUAAAAAGUUCAAAGAGUUUAGACAUGAGGCCGAGAAUCAAAUGGGGAGGAAGAUAAAGAUGAUCUGAUUUGAUAGAGCUGAAGAAUAUCUUAGUAUCGACUUCCACGACUAUCUAAAGGAAUGUGGAAUAGUUUCACAAUUGACUCCUUCUAGGACAGCACAACUUAAUGGUAUGGCUGAUAGGAGAAACCAAACCUUGUUUGACAUGGUUCGUUCCAUGAUGAGUCGAGCUUCACUUCCUAUUUCUUUAUGGGGGUAUGCCUUAGAGACAACCACCAAUAUUCUUAAUCUUGUCCCAACUAAGAAGGUUGCCAAAACAUCCACGAGAUAUGGAAAGGGAAAGUUCCCUUGUUAGUACAUAUCAAGGUUUGAGGUUGUGAAGCUUUCAUUAGAAGAGAGACUCGUGACAAGCUAGAACCUAGAUGUAACGACUGUGUUUCGGGGCUAAUCAUUAGUGUAGUGAUGUAAUAGUCUAGGUCAACUAUUUUAACUCUUUUUAGAAGUAAUAAAGACGAAAUAUUGGAGUAUUAUGUGAAUUAUGUGCUUAUAUAUUUGUUUAUAAAGAAAUAAUAAAAAUAAGCUUCAAAAUUUAAGUUUUGAAUAAACCCGAUAUCGGUACAUGAAGUGAUAGUGGUCAUGACAAGGAUUCCGGACAUAUAAAGAACGCCAACAUCCGAGUUAUAACGAAGGAGUUAUGACCUGUCGAAGUUUCGCGACAGAACCGACACGACAUUACACAACGUAAAUAGUGAAUUUAUGAUAGAGAGAUCUUUAGCCUUAUCAAUCUAAACGAAAGUCGUAGAGCACAUUAAAGUGAGAGUGUGCAUGAAAAGAAUUCCCAAAUCUGACUUCGUAUGAGGAAGUUAUGAUUUUUCGAUGUUUCGGCUUAGCAGUAUACAACCCGAAGUUCGAAUAUUAGAUCGAGCGGUUUUUAGCCUACACAACCUAAACGAGAAUCGAAGAUCUCGUCAAUGGUAGCGUAACGAAAAAAAGACAGACGAAAACGGAUGUCGGAUGAAGAUGUUAUGGAUUUUUAACAAACCAAUCAUGUCCCGGCCUGUUAAAAAUAUAACUUUAAAAAUAAAGUCAAAAUUAGCCAACAGAGUGUAAACGAAAGUUGUAGAGAAUGGUCCCUUCUACGUGUGGAUAUAAAGAACAUCGAAAACAAAGCUCGUAAACGAAAGUUGUAGAGAAUGGUCCCUUCUACGAAUUUUUGAAGUCAGAUUAUGAAUUUGCGAAGCCUGAUGCGAACUCGAUGGUGUCACACCCCCAAACCGGAACGGCGGAAACGUUCGGGGGCGGAUGACUUCAUGUGGUAGCAUAACAAAUGAAUACAUAGUAAAGAAAGCAACACAACCAUCAUAUAUAUAAUUGAAAGUUUACAUUUUUAAAAAGUACAUGUUCAAAACCAAUUACAAUAUGAUGCCAAAAUAUGAAUUUAAACUGACGAUGCAGCGUCCCUUCUUCAAAAGCUGUUUGUUACCUGUAAUUACUGAAUCCCUGGGACAUACAAGUAGUUUUGAAAGAGUAGAUCAACAUUUAAGCUGGUGAGUUUCAUAAGUAUUAAAUAACAAUGUUUGUAUGAAAUGAAAUGUUUUGUUUUUGUUUGUUUGUUCCUAGAAAAUCCCAUAUUUUCUACUAGCAUAAAUGUAGCCUUCUAUCAAGACCAAUGUUUGUUUCUAGAAAAUGUAUGUACUUAUAAAAUAUCCAAUACGUCUGNCCUAUACACAACGUUCUUCAGGCGUUGGAAUGUUCUGACGUUUGUCACCCCAAAUGGUGGACUGUAGCUAACAGUCAGGGCGUGGGGUUGUCAAGCCCGUAUAGAUCUAUACACAAACACCAUGAUCCCCCUCCAAGGGAUUCUGGUAUAUAAUAUAGGACUUCAAAUGUGUACUCGAACGUACGUGAAGUUAAUGUCUCACAAAACUUAGUAUAAAAACAGAUUUACGUGUUAAAAUGUUCGUUUGUUCUUGUAUGUGAAAGUGACUUCUUGAAAAUAGUGUUUCUAGUAUGUAAAAGUUAGUAAUGUUCUCGUAAAACUAUACCUAUUAUAGUUUUCUAAAAGUGUGUCUCGUUUGUUUAGAAAUCCCUAGAAAAUGAAUCACUUGUUAUGAAAGUAUAAAUUUUCAUAGUGUCUAAGUUGGACACAUAUACAUGCAAUCUAAGCAGAGUGUUUAAUUUAUACAUAUAUAACAACAUUUUUCAUUUCAAAAGAUAUAAUGUUAUCGUGAUAUAUUUUACAUACGAAAGUUCCCUAUAAAGUUUAUAAAUCACAUAUGAUUCUGUUGAAUAAAAGUGUAUAAUAAAACUUUAUAUAACACACGAUAAUAAUCGGGUGUUUUACUUGUAUUCCCCCCCUUGAAAUCAUAUAAAAGCAUUUAUAGAAUAUUUAAAAGGGUUAAUUAAGGGGUAUGAACUCACUUGAAAGAUCGAAGAAAGGCGAGAUGAAAACCGGGCAGAAUUUCUUCUCGGGAAAACGGAUUUUCUCGGGAUUCUCGGGAAUCUCAGGAGUACAAACGACCUUCGGGACUUGAGCAAAGUGACCGGGGCUUUGGGUUAGCACGGGCACGGAAAACGAGGCAACAACGCAAGAGAAAUGAGAGAGAAUGGCCAUUUUCUUUGGAACCCUCGCAUCCCUUUUAUAGGGAGUGGGAACCGCCUCGGUACGCUGGGCGUAAGCGUGCGUCACACAUGACCGGAUCCUCGACUGCCUCGGAGUUCGGAUGGGACGGGGCGUAGCUUCGCAUAGGGCGAGACGUGGAUGAUCCGAGGCCUAGGCCUUGAGUACGCUGGGCGUACGAGCUUACGCUGGGCGUAACUCGGACCUAUCUGAUGACUCGCCUUCGGAUAAUACCAAGGUUAAAUAAUAAAAUUUAUAUUUUAUUUAUUUAAUAAAUUUCUAAAAUUCAUAUCUUCUUCAUACGAACUCCGUUUUCGAUGUUCUUUAUAUCCACGCGUAGGUGAGACUAUGCUCUACAACUUUCGUUUAGAUUCCGUCGGCAAAUUUUGAAAUUAUUUUUAUUAUUUAUUUUUAAAAGGCCGCGUUAAGGAAAUUUCGUUAGAAAUUCAUAACUUCUUUAUCUGACAUCUGUUUUUGCCAGACUUUUUACCGCUGAAAUACCAUUGUCGAGACCUUCGAUUCUCGUUUAGGGCAUUCCGGUCAAAAGUCGCUCGAUCUCCGAUUUGAGUUUUUAGUUGUCUGUCGCUAAGCCGAACUUGGAAAAAUCACAACUUCAAUAUACAAAGUCGGAUUUGGGCGUUCUUUUUACGUACGAUCAUGGUUUAAUGACAUCAAACAUAGUAGGGAAUUAAAUAGAAACUUUUUGGACAUUUUAUUUUCGAAGUAAAUUUCAUUAUCACAAAAGUGGUUACAAUACUUGACUUUUUAGGUCAUUACUUAGAGUUGAAAUAUCGGGUUGUCACAGAUGGCGUGGCCGAAUCCCAGUCGUCCGAUGAUGAUCAUAGAGCUCGCUUCGGAUCGUGACACGUCGCCUUCGCAUACGCCCAACAUCCAAGCUCGAAUUGCGUCGAGUACAACUGCUUUCCUCGGCCCAACCUCGUCCACAGCAUCCCACCACAAUGAUGACACAUGUUAUCUUAUCCGACUUACGCCCCAGGUCCGAGGCCCUGUACGCCCAACAUACGUCUGAGGACUAGCCUAUAAAAGGGCUGUGAGGGCAGCCGACUUUCUCACCCCUUCCAUCAUAACUAUCUCUCGCUACUUUCUCUCACUACCUCUCUAACCUCCUUCUAAGUCUAGGUAAAUACCCCUAGCACCCGAAGGAAUCCCCGAGGCUCCCGAAGCCUCGAGGAAAAGAGUCUUUUGUUGGGUUCUGAGCAUUCUAACACUCCUAUGGUGUACAUGCAACCCUAUAAACCUUGGAUCUAAGUUUUCUCUAUUAUACAUGCAAAUAAGAACUUUCCAAGGCUUUAAUCCUAACUAGCAUAUUAUGAUGUUCUUAUACUACUAAGUACUACUUAGAUGACAUACCUUUUGAUGUAGCUUGAUGUCUUCAAGCUUUAAGAGCUUAGCCCCAAUAGUGUGGAAGCCUCAAAUGGAAUCACAAAUCACCAAAAACACCUUGGAAGACUUUAGAGAAUAUGGAUACUUGGUUCUCUCUAGUGAAAUCGGCUAGCCCUCUUAGUGUAUCCACACUAGUGCCAAUUUCACCAACCAAGGACAUCUUUAUAUAGUGUUGAGGAUUAGGGUUAAACCCUAAUACCCAUGACCUUCCAUUUCCUAGGAUCCAUGGGUUAAACCCUCCAUGGACUAUCCAUGAAAGCUUAGCCCAACCUAAAUGAACUUGGCCCAUUCCAUAUAUAUAAGAGUCCAUAUUUAAUUAGUUCCUUUUGAUCACUUAAUUAAUUAUAAAUUAAUUCUUGAUCAAUACUAAUUAAAUAAUAUGAUUCCAUAUUAAUAUAUUAGAACUUAUAAUAUAUUAAUAUUAAUCAUAAACAUACUAUUCUCAAAAGAUUAUCCAUAUAAAUUGUGUCGGUGAAGUGCAACCCAAAUGGACCAUGCCGGGUCGGGUCAAGUACAUACCAAAUAUAGUUAUGGACUUAGACAUUAAUCCAACAGUCUCCCACUUGGAUAAGUCUAAAACUAUUAUUGCGUAUGACUUCAAACCUAACUGGCAAUCGUAGCUCUUAAAGCUGCUGUCGAACUCUGAUCUUGUCAACGAACUUGUCCAUUAGAUAAGGGAUCAUAUAUUCCUCCAUUCUAGAUAUCAUAUGGACUGAGACAUGGAUUAUAAUCAUUCUCUCUGUCCAUUUGUUGUUUCCCGAUUUCCGAUUUAUGACGACUGACUAAUUGAACAAAUCAAAUCAGUCCUGGCCCGGCCGAGCACUUCCAUUUGUCAUCAUCAAAUCAUCGAGGGGCCCACAGAUAUCGCUUUUAUCCCGAAGGUAAAAGGAAUGGAUAAACUUCGACUCAUAUGGCUUGUUCUACUACUUGUUGAAUCAUACACAAAGGCACGUUUUAUAGCACCGAGUUACCAAAUGCGUUUUCGUGCAAUCAAUGUACAACCAACUCAUAGUAACAACUCAUAUCUCUAGGUUUGAAGAAUAUAAGAUAUUAUCGUCUCAUGAUCACUCGUGAUAAAAUCCAUGAAGUGAUUCCAAUGAGCGCGGGUUGAAUCCAAUACUCAGAACUUAUGAGCACUCAUGAGUGUUGUAGCCCUUUGUCCAACACCUUAGACCUCUACAAGCCAACCCAUGACAGUCUUAAUUCAUAUCUACUUCCAACAUAUGACCGACUGUGGAUGGUUUGAAUAACUUAGUCAUUCCGGAAGAAUAACCUAGUUUAUUCGGGAAGUCAAAACAUGCAAAGUGAAACACAAUAAUAAUUGAAUCCAAUAUGGUAUCAAAUCUUUGAACAUAAAUAAAACACCUUUUAUUUAUCACCAUAUGAUUACACAUUAUUCAUUGUAUACUGUUUCAGCUAUCAACUUUAUUCUUGAAUUUAAAACAAUAGUUGUCCCAUGCUCCAAGCAUGUACACUAUGUUUUCUUAAACACUAGUCAUGCCACACACCAAGUAUGCAUACUAUGUUUGUCUAUGAUCUUUACUUUGUGAACUAGAUCAAUUGAACAUAACUUCAAUGAUUCUCUUUUCACACUCCCAAAUCCUUACUGCAAAUGCAAGAAUUCCAAAUUCAUGCCAUUUACUGAAAUCUGUUAGAUUCUAAACUUAUAUGCAUUGAUCCUCUUGUAAUGAUUAUGCACAAAGUCAGAAAGACUUGACAACAAUCAUUACAGAGUAUUCCAAAGGAGAUCAGCUCCUUGGAAACAUCCUUCUUGCAUUAAGUUUCCUAAUCUUAAACAGAUUGAAAAUUCUAACUUUGAAACAUUUCCAGAUUCCAUUUUGACUAUCACUUCUGAACAAGAGUUGCCUCCUUACAGAUUAUGUCAAUAUGGUCCUUCCAGAAUUAUCACUAUACUUCCAACUGUCCUUGAGCAACCAAUCUUUGGUAAACCUUAGAUUGUCCUCGACAAUUGUUUAAUCCUUUUAGUCAUAUCCAGUUCUAAACCUUUUCCCUUCUUAAUGCCCCAGGCAUUUGGAAAAUUUUAGAACGGAUGAAUAUAGCACAUGUAAUCGAUCCUAUAUCCGAAGCAUAUGGGACACGAUUCAUGAUGUCUUACAUAAAGACUAAACCAGUCUUUUGCUAUAAUAUUUCCAUUUCAAUUUGCCAAGUUCUCAUAAUUCAGAUUAUGAAAAGGGAUGCCGUAAUCAUAAUCGAAUUUUAGAACGCAAAUAAUGGACCCAUAUACAGAAUUUCCUUAUGUUGAGCCAUUCCAACAUGAAAUUCAUAUAUAUCCUUGACUAAAUGAUUAAAACCUCACGAUCUAAGCUUAUAGAUUUGAGAUGAAGUAUAAUUUCCUCUCCCUUAAUUAUAGCAAAACAAAUUUUUCUCAGUUGAAACCUUUUGUUUUCUAUAAUUACCAUUGCUAACUUGCAACCUUUAUCAUAAUUAUCAUGCUCCCACUAACAUGAUGAUUAUUAGCAUAACACUUAUGCUCCCACUAGCUUUGACAUGUACUUAGAAAUCAGCUGNCCAAAGUUCAGAUUUCUGAUACUAGAUUGUUUUGAUAAAACUUUAUCAAAAUCAUACACCUUCCCUUAGAUAGCACACUUGUGAGUCUAAACAAUUAUGAAGAGGGAUGCCGUAAUCAUAAUGGUUAGACCUUUUUGCCACUUCUCACAAGUCCAGGUUAGUGUGCCGGUUAACCACACACGCUCCACUAACGACUUUGAGAAUGCAAAUAUCACAAUUGCUAUCUAGCUAAAAUCUACUUAGUGAAAGUGUUUCCUCACCAUCAUUUUCAUGAAUCGGAGAGAAACCUUAUGACACUUGGAUUUUUAUGGUGUAUAAGAUCCUACCCAUAUGAAUUUGUCAAAACCAUAAUCAUAAGACAAGGAUAAUGACAAAUCCAAACUCAUCUGGAUUGAACUCAAUCUUAAUUUCUUACCACCUGGCAUCUCAAGGGCUUGCCAUUGCUUCCAAUUUGUUGUGCAACCAAUUGAGAACUCUAAGAGCUCAUAUGUAAAGUCAACUUUAACUGGAAUGGGCACAGAAUAUGUCAACACGAUAGGUUAUAAACCUCAAGUCGUGUGCUAGUGAAGAACAUCAAGUUUUAUUCUUGAUUAGUUCUUGAGACUUUCAAGACCUUUAAGACUCCCAAUGUCCUCUUGACAUAUAAGACUCUCUUGUCAAACAUCCAAGAGAUAGUGCGGAUUCUAAUCAAGAAAAACACUUUACCCAAUUGGCCUAAGUUGGUCUUUGUUUUAUCCAAAACAUCACAACUUACCAAUUUCAAAUGUACAAGAGUAGAAAACUUUUACUCUUACAUUUGACAAGUGUUUUAAACCUUCUUUAAGACAUGUCACUCAAAUGACAAUCUUGGAGUAUGACUCUAAGACUUGUAUUGGAACGAAGUAUGACUCAUCUUCUUGAUUUAACCAUUUCAACAAUUGAAGAUUCCUCUUCUUAGUCAUAAGAAUGCACUAAGAUCCCUUAGAUAAUUAAUUGUGCUAUGGUUUCUUAAUAAUUAAGAUAAUCACAAAACUGAUACUAAAGUACUCUCCCAUCUUUAUAGAUUUGAGAAACUUUUAUCCUUCUUGCCUAAUUUGAUUCUUCUUAUUCGCUCUGCCUUACAUUGGAACAUUUUCCAAUGUCUCAGAAUUACACUUAAGCUUGUAAGUAUAACCAUAUCUACUGAGCUUUAGUAAAUUAUGACGAAUGAUCUUAUCGAUCUUUUGUGGUGGACUUAAUCAGUGCACAAGAAUGUGUACUCGAUCCCUUAGUCCUUUACUUGACUCACACAUCCAUGUGAACAAGUAAUUAGUCUUAAUUUUCCAAUACUUGAAAGUUCUCAUUCAUCAUGCUAUACAACUUGCAUGAUUCCAAGUUCCGGUCCAAUUGAAACUUGGGUGAUGAGAAUCUUUCCUUAUUUGGUAAAUUUAGACAUUACCACAAAUGAAAGAAUCAAUUUCAUAUUUCGACUCUUGCUAUUAAUGGAAUCCUAUAAACAACAAAAAUUUUCACAGAUGCCAUUGUAAGGAUAUUUUAAAAUAAAUAAAAUCAGAAAAUUUCCUUUUAUUUUAAAACAUUGCGGAAAAACUUAUCCUUACAAUCCAUAUGAAAACUUGUUGAUGUCUAUUCCUAAGCAAAAAUAUCAUAACUCUUAAGCACGUGCUCAAAAUUCUGAUCACCGAACCAUGUGAUUGAAAUCCAUCUUAUCGAUCAGAAUCAAUAUAUACUUCCUUUAAGUUUCUUUACUUUUCUUUGAUUCUUAAAACAUCAACAUGUGACCCAGCCACAUCAUGUAAUAAGAAUCUCCAAGUAGGAACUUAAUAGAGUCAGACAAUGGACUUUACCGGAAAUAAAGUCAGCCUUAUUGACUUUAUCAUCCUUAGGUAAGUUUGGCAGCUUCAUAACCAAAGCCCCUUCCUUUGGCAAUAGAAACUUGUGGACCCUUAGGUAAUAGUAAUUGGGACUAUCUUAGACUUAGCCUUUCUCUUUACCAUUUGGUCAACAAAGUUGACUAUGGCCAAUCCCUUUCGAUUGGGAAGAGAAUGCAUUUAUGGAUUUCCUGUGUCACUAUUGUCCCUGUCCAUAAAGUUUUGGGAAGUUGAUCUCCUAAUCAAAUUUGGUUUGCUAGUACACUAAAUCAUUUUCUGAUUUAGCAGCACCAAGAAAAUAGAUAGGAUCAUUAAGGGUCUUGUCAUAGUCUAUUUCAUAGGAGUCCCAAAGGAACUCACCAUGUGACUUAGAAAGUGAUUGAACCACUAACUUUCUCAAGACUUUGACACCCAACUCUCGCGGCUUGUCAGCAUGUGACUUCAUCUCCAAGAUGUGAUCACACCUAGACCUUGUCUUGCCAAUAGGGCUUGAGUGACCUUGAACUUUUCAAGAACUUGUGGGUUAGGGAGAAUAAUUGGAGGAGGUGGAGGAAGUGAAGUUCCAAGAUAUUUGGGAAGAUCAUAGAUGUCUGAACUAGACAUCUUUUUGGAGAUAUUCAAGAUAGUUGAUUUAAAGUCCUUAAUAUAACACCCAAUAUGAAAUAUUAAGGCUAGGACCCAACAAACUAUUUUAUAACUUAGAAGAGGGAUGCCGUAAUCCAAGCUAUAAAAUAUUUGAAGGUAGGUGAAUGACGAUUCACCAAUUUCCACCAAGAUAAACGAAAUGUAUUAUUAGGUUUUAAUUGGUUUUGAAACUCCUAGAUCUUUGAGAUUCAUUGAACUGUUCAAAGGCAUGUUUCAAUCUCGAGUGUGCCCUUCAGGUUUUGUGACUGGGAUGCCGAGGAUCACAAAACAAGGUGUGAAGUAACCAUGCAAAUCACUUGGUACCCUUAAUAAAUUACCCCUCAAUCGAUGUGCCGGUUAACCACACACGCUCCAUCGAUACUAUGAUAAAUAUUAAGUCACCCUUUACCUACCUUGUUAAGUCCAAGUUAGUGUGCCGGUUAACCACACACGCUCCACUAACGACUUAGACAAAGUGUAAAGUGUAAUUUCAUGGAUUAGCACCUUAUUCACAUUUUUCCUAAGUAACUAAGAUUGGGUAUUAUUAAGAGUUUAGUUACUUAGUAUUAUCAUUAAUACUUUUAAUGAAGGGAGAAUUCUAGUCCUGUCAAACCCGUUCGGCUAACGACCCUCCACCAGUCAAGCAAGCGGUGGGUGAGAGUGGACACCCAUUAAGUUGCCAUUUUAUAGGCAACAACCUUAUACCCACCUUAUAGACCGGCUUCGUGAAUGAGGCGUACU
rnacentral:lncRNA from 1 species